UUUCUGAUAACAUUUAGGUCCUACGUCCAUUGUACAUCCUUGCACGAAGUAACAUUUGCGUCAUGGAUGGAGGCUAGGCCUGAACUCGGCCACCUCUGCGAUAACUUAAAGCUGGAUAGAUAAAAUAUACCUUGGUCAUUAUUUUGGAGCCCGGGGUGUCAUGGGACUGGUGGACCGUGGACUCACCAUUUCUGGACCUGAGAAGGUGGUACUAAAAGCGAUGAGUAAGGAGUAAAGAUAAUUUGGAGGGAGUAUGUAUUGGCCGAAAGAGGGGCAUUGUAUUGAACUUGCUUCUGCUAAUUAACAGAGGCAAGCAUGUAUGUGUAUAUAUAUUUAUAUAUUGUCAAGCUUAAGUUGGACUAGGACAGUAUGAGCUUUCCGAUCUACCCCUCUGUGCCGUAAUGUAAGACGCUAUUCAAUUCAACACUAAACUAGUGUCGAAAAACGUCCUACUGACGCUAUUCAAUUCAACACUAAACUAGUGUCGAAAAACGUCCUACAUUAUGGAACGGAGGGAGUAAAUGUUUUCCACUGCUUCCAAAUGAUAGUCAUCAUUUAGAUGCAUGGCCUUGUUCUUGUGCUCAACAAAUCUGGAUUUUAGGAGCUCUUCCUGUACUUUUUUUAUAUGCUCCUUGGGCAAUAUUUAUGGAUUGGCCAUCUGUAAAUUAUGUGAACCUGCUUUUCAUAACAGAUUUUUUUUCCUGUCGUGAUCUGAAAAUAAGAGAGGGCUCACUUUUGCAUAAUAUUGAACUUGUCAUAGGCCUCUGAUUGGAAGCAUGGCCAGGCGUUUUCCUAAUUUGCUUCAUUGGUGAAGUGGUCCGUUAUAAUUUGCGUCAUUGGUGAAGCAGUUGCAUUAGAGUUUCUAAAAAAAAGCCCUUACAUCGGAGCAUUUGCAGCCGGGCUCCCUUAUACAUCCUGGUGGACGGCCCGGUCAGUAUCCGGUCAAGAAAUUGUGAUUUAGCCGCACCCCUCUUAUUGGCCCUGUACGUCGGGCCUGACCGGCAUUCUUCAUAUCCAGCCCAUAUCUAAGGCGGAUAUAGGGGAGGCUUGGACGCCGGAUACAACCCUUGCUGGCCCACCUUGACCCCGCAUAUGUUUGUCCCUAUCAUUCCAGACCAAACCCUAGCCACUCUACUUCACUCUGCACCCAAACUCCUAUUUGGCCUUCUUCUGCAUGGCAAACAACAGAUUUGAUUAUGAAAUCUCCUGACCCGUCGACCUCAUCCCAUGCGGGGAUGAGGAUUUAGCCGUCUGGCUGGCUGACCAUCAGUCUCGGAGGAAAUCCCACCUCCAUAGUCGGAGUUGCACCGGCGUGAAUCAAUUGCGUCUGUGCAAAUGUCGCUUGGAUCCGGCGACGUCGGUGGCUCGAGGCAUGUGACCGUCGCCUCACUGGAUGCAUCGACUAAUGGCUGGUGGCGGCUUGUCCCCCGUGGCAUCGGGGUCUGAGCUGAAGUUCAACAUCGGCAUGCGCCACGGCCCAACUGGUGCAAAGGACCAGCAUGCCCGUCGUGCGAGGAAGUGGCAUGACAAGCCAAAGCAGCCCCAAAGGUCGAGGCCGCAGAGGUGAUGUCGCACAUCGCCUUGGACACAAUAACAAUGAAGCCCCCCGUGCCUACAUCCCCAAGAAGCAGCAAAGAAGGACGAUACACACCCUCGCAAGGGAGCAAAGCGGGGCGGUCCGUGCCAUGGCUGACUGCCCCCCAUGAGGAGAAGCAGGAAGCCAAUGACGGCAAUGAGCAGAUCCGGAUUGAUCCAUUUUGCGUCUUCGGCCGCUACUUUGGUGAUAAAGAUACAAGGGAAAGGGCAGUUGCGGCUGAACAAUCUCCAUAGCUCUAGUAUUUAGAACAUGCCAAUUUUUGGUAGUCAACGCGUCCGCAGACGUUUAGGGGGCAGAUUAGCUAGGUUCAGCUGUAGAUGCUUCGAUAGAACUCCUGAAUAAGACGCUGCUAGUUUCCCAUGUAAGCCAUGAAGAGUGCAAGCGCGCCCAUUAUAUCUCCACCAAGUCCACAACAGAACAAGUAGUUAUUACUCCCUCCCUUUCUUUUUACUCCGCAUAUAAGAUUUGGUCAAACUCAAACUACACGAAGUUUGACCUAAUUUAUAUAAAAAAUAUGAACAUCUACAAUACUAAAACUAUAUAAUAUGAAAAUACUUUUCAUGGUGCAUCUGAUAAUAUUGAUUUCAUGUUUAUUUUUUUAAUAUUAAGUUAGUCAACCUCUACAAAGCUUGACUUUGACCAAACCUUAUAUGCGGACUAAAAAGAAAUGGAGGGAGUAUUUUGUAAUCUCGUGUUGGUGUGUUUUCUAGGACACAUGUGUUGGAAAUAUGCCCUAGAGGUAAUAAUAUUGUAUUAUUAUAUUUUCAUGUUCAUAAUUAAGAGUUUAUAUUCUAUGCUAUAACUACUAUGAUCCUGCAAUAUGCGAUUCAGUGAAAAACUCGUAUGCAUUGUAGAAUGACAAACGAUAAAAUUAGGUUCUUAGUCUUGCCUCUAAGAUGGGCGCAAGUGUUGUUGGUGAUCAUGUUUUUCGGAUUUUAGGAUAUCAUUAAGUGUAACGAUGGUCCUAAAACAACAUUGAGAGGAAGAACGAUCAUAUUGUAUCGACCCAAACUUGUUUGUUAUACUUUAAGGUUAUAUCGUCAGAAGUCAACUAUUAUAAUAUGGAAUGUUAGCGUGUGUUUUAUUUCCUUAGACCAUGAGACUAUCGUAGUCACUUCUUACCUUACGGUGGGAUUUGUGAUUUUUCAAACUUCAUCUAUAACACGGUGAUCAUAACAACAACUUACAGGUUCAUCGUAAAGCAUGACUAGGACUAGAUAGCUCGAGAGUGGGAUUGCUCCUCCGACGAUGGAGAGAUAUUCUUAGGGCCCUCUCGGUGUGACUACUACUGCUACUGCUACUGCUACUAUAUCAUUUUUAGAUCUCUAUACCAAUUUGCGAAAAUGAUUGUAACCCAAUGCAUUUUGUACAUGUAUUUUCUAUAUGAUAUUCUUCUAUGGUCUCACUAAGUUCUUCGUCUUUACAGAAUUAAAGGGGAUAUGGACCUAUGCUAUAUUCAUCAUCUAAAUUAGAUAUUUCUACAUUUUGCAAGGACUUUCUUUGUUUUCGCACUUCAGAUAUGUAUGGAACAUUAUCUUGAUAAGGGACGAAUGUUACCCCUUCUUCAUGUAUGAUUGUGGUUUGUAAACAUUGUUGCAAAAAUCUUAACCCUAUUAUCAUGUCAUCAUUUAUUACUGACAAAUCUCUUAUUGUAAUUUCAUCUAUUAUAUAUUUUGUGCCAUUUAUGUAAGCUUCAAUAUUAUAUGCUAGCUGAUUAUGGAUCUUCUUUAUUCCUGACAUAUCGGUUGAUACUUCAGCUUUAUUAUCAUCUAUAGUUUCAACUAUUUCGGGACAUCUCAUAAAAUAUUUAUCAUGGAUGAUGUUCUUAGUGCAACCAGUAUCUAAUAGUGCCAGUAUUUUAUAUGAAAUAUUUGGCUUCAGAACAAUCCUAACUGGGAUUCUUAUCCCUAGCACUUCUUUGAAUGGUAAUCGAACAAUAUAUUUGUUUCCAAAACUAGUAAUUGCAUCUUUCAAUUGUAUUAAUUUGUCUCCUUUUUUAUCCCUUACUGUUACCAUUUGCUCUUUCAUUUCCGUGUUUUUUGCAACAUUAUUAUUUUGCUCUUUACUAUUUUCUAACUCAUCUUUAAGUUUUUCUAGCUCUGCUUCUAGCUUAUUUAUUCUAUUUUCUAAAUUUCUAGCCUUACUGGAUAAUAUUCGCUCUUCUGGUUCCAGUUCUAUCUCCAGUGUCCACUUUUGAUUAUUGGCUCUUAAACAUGAGGUAGAGGCUUGUUUUAAGCACAAGCUACAUGUGAACCUAUUAUCUUGGCUUGGAUAAUAUAUACAAAAAGCACAUUUUAUGUUAUAAUCACCUUUUCCUCUAAUCCAAUCAUGUUCACAAUCUACUUGGUUCAUCAUUUCAAUUUUUAAACCGGCUAAUUCAUCUAUUAGGUCUAUUUCAUCUUCACUUCAUUCACAUUUUGGAGCCUCAUUUUCUACUUCAUCUGUUUCUAUAAUUGAAUAUAUUGACUCAUCAUCUUUUAUUUCAUCAUCACAUACUAAUAUAUUCUCAUUAACGCUAUCUAUAAUUAACACUCUCUCUUGCUGUUCAUAUUUGCUAGAGUAUCUUUUCUGGUCUUUAUUAGGGCAAGUUCUACUUAGAUGAUCAGGAGAGUUACAUAUGAAACACCUGCAUGUUUUAUCGUAGGUUUUCUUAGGAUUAUAUCUUCUUACAUUUCUUUUAUGCAAGAAUGGGGCUCUAUUGUCUGACCUUCUUAAGAAACAUCUUUUCUUUGUUAUAAAAUUAUCAUCUCUCCUUUGUGGCUUAUACUAUUUGUUUUUCCUAUGCCUUUCUUCUACAUAUGUUAGUGGUAUUUGGACAAUGUUAUUGCAAAAAUUGUAAUAUGAUUUCUUCAUAGAUCUUUGGGCUUGAAUACUAGUACAUACCUUUCUAAGUUGUUUGAAAACAAAUGCUAUGGCUUGGGAUAUAUUUACCACAUUUCCUCCUGUUUAUUUUUUAUACUCCUCAAAUAUUAUGGAACCUAGAGGAUCGGGCAAUUUAUUAAAACAUCUUUCUACUACACCUACAUUAAAACCUUGGUUAGCAGUAGUAGCAUUAUACAAAUAAUGCUGGGAAAAGUCCUUUAUACCUUUCCAGCUAGUUAAUGUUAAUUUUUCUAUUUCUGUUAAUCUUUCAUUUUGCAAUGGGGUAUGUCCUAAUUCUGGAUCUUCUGCUAUGAUCAUAUUUGAGAUAACAUUCGCAAAGUUAUUUGGGUUACUUCCUGCCCUUUUUAGUUCUUCAUAUUGACUAGGGUAUGACUCUACCCAUUGUUUCCAUAGAACUUUUACAGAUUCUCCUAAAUAUGUUUCAAGAUAUGUUAACAUAUCUUCUACCUUAGUGACUAUAUUAUACUCAUUUUGUAUAUAUUUUUGUACUAUUAAUCCUUUCCAUAUGCUGAUUAUAUUCAACCAAUCUAUUGGAUCAUGAGUUGCUAGGUUUAAUAUAGCGUCAUCAUUCUUAUAAUUUUGAAAUUGCACUGGUUUUUCAAAAUCUCUUCUUUUAGUACCCAUAUAUCUAUAUUGUCCAGGGAUAUACGUAGGUUGAUAGUCAUCUUUUUCUGGAGGCCAUUGUCCAGCUGACCUGGUAGGUCUCUCUCUUUCUCCUUCUCUUUUUACAGACGAUUCCCCAUAUCCCCUUCUUCUUUUACCACUAUUUUCUACUUCCAUGUCUUCCAUUGCAUUCUCUAAAUUAUGCAGUCCCACAUCAUCUAGUGAGUUAUAUAAUCACUAUUUUGUUCUGAAUCAUCAUAUCUUUCAUCUUCUAACCACAUUUCUUUGAUUAAUUCCUCCUCCUCCUCAUACCUUUCUAAUAAUAACUUAUUAUUGAUAUCCCAUUGCUCUUCUUCACUAACAACUUCUUGUUUUUGAACAAUAUUCUUAUCUUUAUUAUUAUUAUUAAUGAUAUCAUUUUUAUUAUUACUAGCAUUUACUUUUCUUUCUGCUGAUGCUAUAAUUUUAUCUUCCAUGGUUGAACUACUAGUGGCAAACUUUUUAUCAUUUUUUAGUUUCUUUAACCUUGCAAUUUCUCUAAUAAUAAAUAGUUCUCUUUCUCUUAUUUUAGGCCAAUCAUUUGUCAUAGAAUGACUAUAUUCUCAUUCAAUAUGCUUUAGUUUCUUUUCCCAAUGAUUUAUUUCAUCAUCUAAAUUAGCCUUUUCCAUGCAUUCAGAUAUACCUUUAUUCUUAUCAUCAUUAAUUUCUGAUUCUGACAUCAAAGAUUCAGAGUCUUCUAUUGAUGCAGAUUUAUAGUUCAUAAAUCGAAUACUACUACUUCCUUCACAAUUUUGAUAGCUUAUGUAGUUUUCAGGUUGCCUUAAUUCUUUUUUCUCUAUUAAUUCUCCUAUCUUCCAUUCUUCUCCCGCUCUUUCUUUAGAGCCAAUUUUAAGAGGAUUCAUAAAUUUAAUACCUUUUGAUUGCAUACUAUCAAUUACGUCAUUCACAUUCACUCUAUAUCUGGAGCUACUUCUAUUAGUGAGCCUUCCUAUAAAUUCUAUACUUACUAACAAGUUUGUUCCUUUAAAAUCUUCGUACCCUUUAGUUUGGAAACCAAAACUCAUUUUUUCAAUAAAUUCUUUUAGAGGCAUCAUUAGGUCUGGAGCUAUAUAGGUUAUUAAUCUAUUUUCAUUCAUGUCUCCUUCCAAAAAUCCUAAUGCUGCUUUGUCUACUGAUUCCCAUCUUCUGUCUAAUAGCGUUAUUAGAACCUUUGCACCUAAUUUCUUCCUUGUCAUAACUUUGACUCCUAUGAUAUACAUACCUUGAUGAAUAUAUUUAUAACCACAAUAUUUUAGCUCAUUUUCAAUAUUUUUGCUUACAAUUCUUAAAUCUACCGGAUGUGUUAACACACUUAACUCUACUUCUCUGGAUAUCCUGUAUAGCCCACUUUUACUCUCAAACAUAGCGGCUUUAUUUUUCUUAGAGUAUCUUUCUGAUAUCUUUCUAGAUCUCUUUGUAUAUCUAUAACUUCUUCAAUACUAUCAAUAUCAUUAGCUUUGCAUGAUAAUCUAUGCUUCAUGGCUAGAGGUCUUGAAUUUGCCUUACUAAUUGGAGGUUUUUUUUCUCUUCUAAGGAAGCCUUUAGAUAUGUCCAUUUUUCUUGAAUUAAUAUUUCUAGCAGAGGCAACUAUUCCAGAUGAUGAAAGCACAAUUUCUUUGUUGUUUUGAACACUAUUUAGUUUAUCUAAAAUCUGGAUUAAUAGAUGGAGGAUGGUGUUAUUUUGUCUUAUUAUUACUUUGGAAUCUUCUUUUGGGGAGUCGUGAUCGGAGAAUCCGAUGGGAGGUGACAGAUAGUUUGCUACUUCGUGUAAUGCUUGAGUAUAUUCAGUCAUAUAAUUAUGAGAUAAUCAAAGUUUUAACCUCUUGCACCAACUUCUUUAUUUCAAGUAUAUCUUGUCUUGAUUCAGUGCGUGGGAGUGGCUCUUUGCCUUUACUUAGGUAAUGGCCUAUUGAUAACACUUCCUCUUUAAUAUAAUCGUUAUUCUUGCAAACUGUAUUAUGUCUUGCUUUUGCUUCCUCUAGCUUAUGUAAAGCUAGAUCAAUUUUAUUAUUCAACCUUGAAUACUUAUCUGCAAGUUUUUGGUAUUCCUUAAAUAGACUUUCAAAUUUCUGGUCUAGAUUAUUUUGUCUUUUUCCUCAAGACAUGUAAAAGUUAUACAUCAAAUCGACGACUAUAUUUAACUGGCUAUGAGAUGUAUGCCAGAUAUGCUCUUCAGAGGGAUUUACUCUACACCUUAUAUUUAGAUUUUCCUUAGUAUUUAUUACUUUACCUGCGCUAACUUCCAAGUUUAAAUAUUUUAACCUUUCAAUGAUUAAACGCUGGACCUGAUACCAACAAUAUAAUAAUUAAUUAAUUACAAUAGCUUAAUAUGUGAUUAGAUGAAAGUGAUAGACAUGUAUGCUUUUUAUCUUGAAUAGUAUAUACUAUUCACUAGGUAGGAUACUAUUCACAGUAGUGUUUACUAUUUAAUGUACUAUUUGGAAUAGCACUUCACUAUUCAUAGUAAUAUUUAAUUCAAUGUGAUUACCUUCAUGUUCUAACUCGAUUUUUUUGAUGCAGGAUCUAUUAUGGGCUGGCAAGGCCAACAAUUCGACCGACGGUGUGCGCAGUGGUGUAAAAUCCUACUUAGUACUCACCAUAUUUUUCAUUAUGUUGUAUCAGAUGUAGCUAGUUACGUUCACUUAGUAGUUUUAAUUGCAAAUUUACGGGGUAAAUUCCUAUCGUCUUCCCAGGCAGUUCCACUCGAAGGGAACACUUCUCUACGGCCACAAGGUUCUCAUUCAAACGCCACUCUGGGCUACACAAAGAACUACACACGCAGAGGUUUCUUCUAUAGGAUCCCUAGCAUAAGAACUCGUCCCAUAAAUUCAUAAAUAAAAAUACCAAGUGAAACCAAGAAACUACAUCAUUGCCACAACAUAAUUUACAUAUGGCUUUCCCUUUCGGGAGGCCCUGAAGGGAUUACACAAGCUAAAGAAAAUUACCUUCUAACUACCUUCUUGAGCCUUACAAUGCUCUGGAUAUUGUGGCUCUUAUUGCAGGAUGAAGAACUACUAGUACUACUACUACUGAGCAACGAGCUUGCUAGCUGGGUCGCAGCUCUUUGCUCUAUCGGUGGAUGGUGGUUCUUCUCCGUCUGGUGUCUCUCUUCGCAGCAAACGCCUCCUUUUAUAGGCGAGAGAGCAGCUCUCUGGAUGGUUUCCGGGAGAAUGCACCUCUUUAUUUUAUCGUGGUAGGAUGCAUGCAUGUCCUUCUAGGGUAUGGAUAAGAGCGAGAGAUAGUGCCCCGACAAACUUCAAUCUUCAGGAAUCUUUCAAGUCAUUGCUUUUUUCACGUGGGCAUUGUCUCUCGGUGAAUAACUGGAUAGCUCUUCUUUUCAUCUUCGCUUUUCAGCCAUGCAAAUCUUCAUGCCUUCAGAUAGAUAGCUUCUCCUUCAGGAAUCCUUGUGCCAGUGUAUGCGUACAUACAUGCUGAGGCUGCUUAAACAUUCAACAUUGCAUAUUCUCUACACAAGUUUUGGAGCCUCCUCUAGUUCUCUAGUUCUAGUUGGUCAUAGUUGAUCAAUUAGAGCUACACCUAGAUCUUGUAAUCAUCAUAAUUAGAAGCCCAAUGUGGUUCUAAUCUCCUCUCUCUAAUUCUCUGGCGACGAUUAGCUAUAGAUGGCGAGGCGCUGCCGGAUCUUGAAGACCGCACGCUGGCAACUCAUAGAAAGGCCGCGCUUUCGGUCUUCCAUUCGAGGGACUGUUCACUGGCGGUUCGCGGGAUCGUUCAUGUAUGGUUCGAGGGACUCCAAGUACAACCUACACCGAAUCGUCUUCUUCCGUCGCAACUCGGAGUCGGUAACGAUCUGAUCCAAACUGCUUAUCGCAUCUUCAUAGUGUUCCUGGGUGAUCAUAGGGCGACUUUUUUGUUUUCUUCAACGUUUCCCAACAGUGGCAUCAACUACAAAAAAUACACUUCUGUGAUGAUACAUGUUUGUCACAGUAGGUCACGUUUUCUGUAAUGCAUGUACAUCCAUGACAAUUUUAUGACAUAAUCAAGAUAGUCAUACAUGUGCUAUCGUAGAAGUGUUCCAUGACAUUACCAAAAUUAUCAUCACGGAAGUGUCCACUUCCAAGACAAUAAAUCGUGUGUCAUAGAAGUGUUUGUCAAGGGUGACCAACACGUGGCAUCCACCAUAACGGGUCGCCAUACGCUAUAGGGUUCCGGUUUGGAUCCGAUAACCCGUUAACAGCCCGGAUCAAUGGGGAUUUUCCACAUGUAAAAUUCUCAAUGGCCAAAGGAACCACGUGUCGGCUCACCGUUGGGACAGAUGUCAUCCACUCAUUGGACCGAAGGCACCUAUGAUACGUCGACGCGUGGCACGGCCCAAUAGAGGCCCAUUCUAGUGAAAAGGCUGGCCCGUUUGACUUGGUCAAAAGGUAGCGGGCCGACCCACGGAAAGCCUGUUAAUGGCCUGUUUGCAUAUAGCCCAUUUACAGCCCGCUAACUCACGGCCCGUCACGGCCUACAGGAAUUUGGCCCAGUAGCAUCAUCUGGGCCACCCAAUAUGAUUCCAGCCCGUUGUAACUUCUGGCCCAUGUAUGGCCCAUGACGUCUUUCGGCCCAUAGGAGGCCCUUUGUAACUCUGGGCCCAUUAAAGGUCCGAGAUGAAAUUGGCCCAUAAUGAACUUUAUACCCAUUAAUGGUCCGAGAUGAAAUAGCCAGUGUUAACUUUGGGCCUUCUAAGAGCCCAUUUAAUCUUGGGCUCAUUUCUAGAAUUCGGUUAGUUACGGUUCGUUACUGACCUGUUCCGCUUGUGGGCCAAAUUCAGCCAAUGGUUACAGUCGGCCCCUUAACCUGUUGGGCUGUUUUCAUAGUGUCAUCAAAUACGACAUAUUAACGACCCGUUAUGGUCGGGCCAUAAACAGACGAUUUCCACUCUAGCCCAUUUACGACCCAUUUUGCAGACCGUUAUUGGUCCACGAAUAGUACAACCCAUGUUUGGCGAAAUGAUUUUACGGCCCAUAGAAGGCCCAUUGAUUAGAUGACUCGUGGAAGGCCCAUGGAUCCUACGGCCCGUAGAAGGCCCAUGGAUCAUAUGGCCUAUAGAAGGCCCAUGGAUCCUACGGUCUGUAGAAGGCCCAUGGAUCCUACGGCCCGUAGGAGGCCCAUGGUCACUACAGCAGGUAGCAAGACCAUGGUUACAACAGUCCGUGUGUUGCCAUGGUUAUUGUGGCCUAGUUAUAAAAAAUAGGUUAUUGUGGCCACUAGAAAAACGCGGAAAAAGAACUGCAGUGACUACAAGAAAAUAACUAAACAAGACAAUAAGGAAAUAAAUAAGAAAGCAACUAACGCUAGGCUAUUACGGCUAUUACACAUAUUACAUCCACUGGGCAUCAAAGUUCGCCACCAGUGCAAAUAUAGGGAACAAAGCAGCAUAUUACAUACACUGGCCGUCUAAAUUGGCCACCAGUACAAAUAAAUGCGGCAGCAAAACAAGUCCAUAACUAAAACAACUUCAGAAGAGUUCAAGAAACGUUAUCCUGGGUAUCCACCAUGCUGGCAAUAAGCUUAGCAAGCUUAUUAGCUUUGUCCUAUUUGGCGCUAAAAUCCUCCAACGCUUGCUAUUGCACCAGAAAGUAUGCAUCUGAAUGCUCCAGGGACUUCCGCAGUCCUUCCGCUUCUUGUCGCAGCAUAGCUGAUCGAUGUCUUUCAGCUUGUAGUUGAGAAUCAAGAAACCGAACUGAUUCAGACAAUGAGUUUGAAUAGCUUGUGCCAGCGGUAGUGGCUAGUAACUCGAACACUAAACGAAGACAGGACUUUGGGGUUGUCUCACUGUCUUCAAGAUAGUUUUCCUUAGUUGUUUUAUCAGCUUUGUUGGAGAGCAACAAGGAUGUCUCACUAUCCUGAACCUUAUCUGCAUUACUUCCUUUACCAUUGCUUAAUAAGGCACUCUUCCCCAAUAUUCUGUCAGCAUUCUAAAAGAAGAAACAAGCAGACACAUAACAGGUUUAGCAUGUACUAGUAUAUGAAACUCAUUUCGGUGAACCCGUUCAUUAGUAAGGUGGACAUGAUUAAACUACCAAGUCUUCUAUUGCCAAGUAGUACAUUAUAAAAGCAUCAUACAAACAUAUAUCUAUGUCCUAUGGUCACUGCAUUGUCUUACCAAAUCAAAAUAGAGACACGGUUCAAAUCAUAUCAGUUCAAGAUAAAGCAGCACUGAAAGAAUACAAAGCGUUGGAAACUACACGGCACAACAAGAUUUCAGAUGGGCACCACGGGUCUACAUGUACAACAACACUAUUGGCUCUGUUGUGAUGCUAGUAGUGUGCAUGAUAUGAGAAGUCAACUGUAUACACAAUUGAAAUUGAAAUCAACAGAGUUAUUUAUAAGAGCAAACCUGUUAAAGAAACAUGCGUAAACAUACCUAUUGUGCCAUUGGAGUUUCGAUUGAAUCCUUCAAUUUAAAAAUAAGUUUGUAUGAGUAAAUACAGUGAUACAAGAGCAAAGCAGUAUGCACGAUAGCAAUGGAAUCUUAAAUGAGAACAACUGUUCUUCAGGUUUAAGCACUUGUUCUACAUGAACAGAGUACAGUAAGAUGCAAGCAUAUAGUACUUAAAAAUAAAAAAUGAGCUUAUAGACCUUACCACAUUCUUUGUUCAGGACCAGUACAGAACAAGGCGUUCCCAGUCAUCGUCUAGUAAAUGUGUUCAGGAGAACGUAAGGGAAUUUGAUGAGUUUCUUUGCCAGUGAAGUACAUUUUCUUCAGGUAAUUCCGAUACUGCCACCAAGCAUUCUUGAAGAUAGCAGAGGUAUUAGCACAGGUUACCUCAUCCUGAGUUUUCAAAUCGGUCCUUUUCUAUAGAGAAAAAUGGGAAAAUUUGCUGUAUUAUAACCAUCAUGAAGGUAGAAUGUAUGGGACAAAGCAAAGUCAUUGCCAUGAAUAACAUUACUUAAACAUAACUCCUGGGAAAACACCUGCAACUGGCAUUUUCCUUCAUCAUCAGUAUAAUAUUUCCAUGAUGGGAAGAUACACACAUAGGAUUUAACAACAUCAAAUGCGAUAGAUGCUAAACUACGAAUGGCUGGUUGUGCUUCCUCCACAGGAAUAGGUGUACUAACUGGUGGAGUUGGGGUUCGCUGUGGUAGUACUGGCUCUUUGGGCACUGGAGCUGCCUAACAAACUGCUCUUGUUUGGGAGCUCUGUGGUGGAGAUGGUACUGUAUCAACAGGAACUGGGUUACUAUCUGCUGGGGUUGGAGUUAGAUUGGGUGAAGCUGGUUCUCUGUCCAUCGCAGUAGGGGUAAUGUGCGAGAGUAUGGGUUAUGUGUGGUAGGGCUGGUUCUCGUGCAUGUACAACCGGGGUGCUAUCUCCACCAAAAGGUAGCACUAUUUUAUUUGAAGAUCGUGUUUUUACUCCGCUAGAUACUGCCAUCACCCGCUCCAAUUCAAAUGGCUGAUAAAUAGGAAACAUAGUUGAAUGUACAGACAUUGUAUGAGAGACAGAUGCAAUAGAUAGUGUGGAAAAAAGAGGGCAUGAAAUAGUUGACAUGUAUAUUGUUUAACUAAAAGGGAUAUCAUGACAUAAUUUCACAUAUAUGAUGUCUAUCUAAACUGGAUAGCAUAGCAUGACAUAAUUCAAAGAUAUGAUGACUAACUAAACAGUAUGGCAUGAGAUAAUUAUAUGAUGCCUUUAGUAAACAAGUUCGCAUGAUAUAAUUCACAUACAUGCUAUCUAAGUAAUCAGGAUCACAUGAUUUAAUUCACAUAUGUGAUUUAUAUGCUAAGCAGAGGGCAUUCACAUAUAUGAUGUCUGAACUAAGAACAUGGUGUUGAAUAUUGUGUAUAUGAUGUCUAAACUAUGCAAUGCAAGACACCAUAUGCAUGAUAUGAGCAGUAUAACCAUGCCAAGUUGGAGCAUACACCUCGGUGGGAGAAUAGGACUGGUCAUCUGUCUCUGAAUCCAUCUCCGAGGAGCUAUCGGGACCUAGCAAGCGAUCUGCUUCGACAAGUAGCAGUGUCUGCUCUGAAGACCUUGUUUUCACUCUAGAUUUUUCCAUCACCCACUCAAAUGGCUGAUUCACAAGAAGAGUAGUUUAAUGUACAAACAUUGUCGACAAAUGGAAAUGUAAUGAAGAAAAGGAUGGGCAAGAUAUCAUUCAAAUAUAUGAUGCCUGGUUAAACAGGAUGGCAUUGCAUAUUUCACAUAUAUUAUGGCUGGCUGAAAGAGAUGAGACUGCAUAAUUCCCAUAUAUGAUACAGAAACUAAACAGGUGGCAUUACAAAACCUGUCUAAACUGAGUGGAUGACACAUAUGAUGUCGAAAGUAGGCACUGCAAGGAAACAUAUGCAUGAUAUGACUAACAUCAGCAUGCUAAGUUAGAGCAAACACCUUGGAGGGUAAAUAAGAGUGGUCAGCUACGUCUGAAUCCGCCUCAAAACAGAUAUCUUCCUCUGGAUUACAAUUUGGAAGGGGGGGAGGGUUUGCCAUUGUACCCACCAUGGAGCGAUGUCUGCAUGACAUUGUAUUGCCACGCAAAACUCUUCUCUUUUUCUCUACAUGUUCAGCAUGACUGUGUACAAUAUCUGACAUGCAUACGAAAAAAAUAUAGCGAGAUUAUGUAAGGAGAGCAUGCAUAAAUCUAGAGUGAUGGUAACAACCAGUGGAUGGAUCCAAAAAUAAUGAUAGCAGGCUGAUGAUAGCUUUAAUUUAGUAAAAAAGACAGAUGAUGAUUGCUUUACUAUUUGUUUCUCACCCAAGAUGAACAACAUAGGCAUACUCUAGGUGAACCAGAUAAUAGACAACGAUACUAUUCAUUGCUGCCUCGAUAUGUGCCCCACAACUAAUUUUAAAACUCAAGUUUGAACAUUAAUUUGGACCUGACUUGGAGUCUAAGAGGUGAACAGGAUAAUAAAGUAGCAGGUAAUAUUAAGCAAUGCAUAAUAUAAGCAGAAACAAAAGAGUGCGACCUCUCUUGUGGACUCGUGUACUCCUCAAGUUCAUCUGCUGAGUCGAUGAUGGUGAUGCCAUUGCGGUGGGUGUCGGCGGUAGGGAAGGAGAUCUGAGGCAGCGAAAGAUGGUCAGGAGUUGUGAUGUCUAGUUCGGUGGAUGCUUCUGUCGAUGGAGCAGCUCAGGUGAAGUGGACGACGUCGCGACAGAAGCAGGACAAACCACACAAAGUUUUCUUCAGCACCUACCUGUAACUGAAGUAAUUCUGUAAGGGCUCCUUUGGCUUGCAGGAUUCUAAAAACGCAGGGAUAGGAAAAACACUGAAAUAGGAUAGGAAUGCACGUGGGAAACAAAGCAUUUGUAAACACAUGAUUUCUGUCAACUUGGGUGUUUGGUUCACAGGAAUUGGAAGAGCAUAGGAAUGCAAAGAAACAUGGCCAAAUUAAAAGUGAAACUAUAUGAAAGCGUGCACAGUUAGAAUGUUAUUCUGGCACUAAUGCACCUGGUCUUGUUUUCAUGCAUAGGAUUUUGAAAAGUAGGUCCUGGUGGAUGUUUUGCUCCAUUCCUUUCAACAAAAUGCAUGAAUAAUUGAAUAGUAGAGUGCCAUAGGAAAAAUUUCCUAUUGCUAUGUUUUUUCCUUCAGUUUUUUCUUUGAACCAAAAUAGUCCUAAUGGAUUGACAUGAAUGUAGAGUAAUUUAGAUACAUUGAAACUGAGCACCUUUCCAGCCUUCUCAGGCUAUUAGCACUUUCAGCCUUUGAAUCAUUAGUUUUGGGCGUUUUCGGCCGUCGGAUUUACUCUUAAUCCCGCCUGGAAUCAUUGUGUUCACUAAAACCGAAUGUUUCCUUGCUGGGCUGCUGCUCCAGCGGCUAUUUUGGACGCCUGGUGUGAAAUUGGGUCUGAUGGGCUUCUACGAGUCUCCUUCCGUGCAACCACAACCCACGACCCUCCUUUCGUCUCUCUGACUCUCGCACACGACCUAUCCUCGCCAACCCUAGGUGUGCCGCCGCCAUGUCUUCAUCUCGCAGCCCCUCAACCGCCCCGUGGGAGCGGCGUCUCUGUCUACGCCUACUCGCUGCUAUCCUCUUUCUCUGGUAUUCCCUAAAGGUGAAGCAGGGAGCAUCUUUUUCUUGAGUCGGCGAUGAGCUCCAUCCCCACAUCAGUGGCGCACUACAUCCCUGAAGCAUGUGUCCGAGUUUUCAAGCCAUAUCUGGAGUUCUCGGGCGUGUCGUCGCCAGAUCCACCAUGUCGAGCAACCAGCCGGAGGUACGUACAGAUAUCUGACCAGUUUCAAUUGGGGACCUCUCGGUUGGGAGGGGCUCAGGGUGUGCGUCACUUCGAGGGUCUGGAAUGGCUGUAAAGAUAGGUUCCUUCAAGUGCAACUUCUAAUUUAUUCUACAUCUGACUUCUUUUUUUAUAGAUCCUUUGUACUAGAUGUCAACAGAAGGUGGUCAGUAUAUUAGAGACUUCAAGAAAUUUGAAUCGAAUCUCACAACCUCAUAUCUCUCUUUGUCUCUCUCAGUUGGUUAACAAGUUGCCCUGGUAUUGAUGUUUAUUAAGUUUCUCCCAAUUUUUUUCUUUUGUUUCUCUACAUGUUAGGCCAACGAAGGUUUACAAGUAGGUACAAAUCUUCAUGGUAGGCAAAGAAUAAAUUUAAGUGGUACUUAGUUAAUUAAAUACCAAGUCCGGAGGGUUGAAACAGAUUCAGAGCACUGAGUUAUGGUGGAGCUGAUGUGUUCUUUCUAUACGUAUUCGCUGGGAGAUGAUCACUUAAUCUUUAAAAUUUGACGGUGCCCACUGGGAGUUCAUGCAGAUUUGCUUCCUCAUGUGUAGUUAUAAGUUAUCUGUUCACAAACCUUCAGCUGCUGUAGUUGAUGCUUGGUUAUUGCAGUACAUAUGUUAACUCUAAACUGGACAAUUGAUUCAAGAAAACUACUUUUUGUUUGACUGUAUCUUCAGCAAGGGUACUCUUAUUGCAUGACGCUAUACUGAACCACUGGUUUGUUGCUCGAGCUGUACUAUAGACUCUUAAUUGUGAAUUUUUGAAGCAAAUUUCAAGUCUGCUACUUAUGGGAAAUUUAGAUAAUCGUAGGCUUUUCAGAAGCUUCCGACCCUAGAAAGAAGGCUCUUAAGAAGCUGCACUACAUGAAUAUGCGGAUAUUACAUGUAUGCUUUUCUUUCUUUAAAUUUUCGAUGCUUAUGAAUCAUCCAUGUAAGUAGUUAGCAUGUAUGGAAGAUAAUCUAUGUUCUGAUCCGUCGAGAGGUGCCUUUUCACUUCCAUUUCAUUUCGGCUUCACCUCCAAAAUAUUUCAUUGCUUCUUGCACAUCUUGGCUACUUGAUUUAUGUAACUUUUUGCAUUUUCAUUUCAUAUUUUCAUGUAAGAUGUGUGCUACAUUAAGUUCUUUAUUUUUUGGCUUCAUUACAUUGUAAUCUCAUGUUUUUUGGCCAUUAAAAUAGUAGCCACCUUUUACAAUGGAACUAGACACUCUUUGCUCAUUUUACAAAUGAUUUUACCUGAUAUAAUGUAGUACACAUUUUUGCACGAACUAUUGUAAGACAUACUAGAAGAAUAUUUAGAUACAUUAAAACUGAGCACCUUUCCAACCCUCUCAGGCUAUUAGCACUUUCAGCCUUUGGAUCAUCAGUUUUGGGCGUUUUCGGCCGUCAGAUUUACUCUUAAUCCCGCCUGGAAUCAUUGUGUUUGCUAAAACCGAGUGUUUCCUUGUUGGGCCGCUGCUCUGGUGACUAUUUUGGACGCCUGGUGUGAAAUUGGACCUGAUGGGCUUCUACGAGUCUCCUUUCGUGCAACCACACCCCACGACGCUCCUUUCGUAAGUCAAUGUAAGAUGCCAUGAGAAACCAAGAGAGGGAAUUAAAAACUUGUGAUAAACAUAAGAAAAAGAGGACGCAGAGCAGUGGUCUUUAAAAGCAAUAUUGCAUAGAUAUGAUGAUGUUUACCUACAACCACCGUAUUCUGUGUAUAUGUGAAUUUCAAUCUCUGCCAACUUACAAGUGGUUCAAGAUAAGAAUAUGAGGGUGUAUAAACAGGAUAACAGGAUAAUAUGCCAUGGUGGACUACACUAGCUUAUCCAAGUGCUCUGAGAUAUUAGCGUAUGCCUGUGCUUUGCCUCGUAUGAAGUCCAUCACAAUUGAACAUAGUUCAGUUUGUUUUUUUAACUUACAGGCUUACAGCUACUAACUUUAUCUUAUCCGCUCCAUUUUCUGGCAAACUAGGUUGAGAAAGGCAUGAUGUUGUCCGUUGUGUAUUCUAAAUGGGUUGCUGUGGUGGAUGGAGUAGCACGACAUCGAUUUCUUUGCUUGCCAAAGAAAAAAAGAAUUGCACAUUUUCAAAACUUGAGACAUGGAGCUUGCGGAAGACUUCUCAAUUUGUAUUCAACCCAUGACACAGUAUGAGCAUGGCCAUUUUAACAAUAAUUAUUUCUCUUAAAUAUACUCCUUUGUUGGUUUGUAGUUAUAAUGUGGAGGGUAUUUUCCUCUGAUGCAACUAUACAUUGUUAACACAUGUAUAUCAUGUGCCAAUUGUGAUUAUUUAUCCAUUUAUUUAUUUACUGGUUGCAUCCGUGUUUUUCACAUCUUUUGUUAACAUAGUUUACUACCCAUAUCAAGUGUCGCUGAUUUAGUAUGGAGGGAGUACUUUGCAAGAAUAAAGUCUAUAGUUCUACAUUAGUUCUGCCUAAAGUAAGAUGGAGUACAUUAGUUUGAGAUCAACCUAAUGUGAUUAUGGUACUGUUAUAACGUGACAACCUUACACUGGUACGCGUCGGUCCUAUACAAAUGGUUUUUAACCCCUUUUCGUGACGGCAUUUGGAACCGUCGCCUAGUGAGUGUGGGCGAUAGGGGGGUCCUUCCCACACGACCCAGAAACCGUCGGGGAUAUGCCCUCCUGGCACACACGCUUGGCAAAAUGAGGUCGUGUGCGACCGGCGAGCGCUCAAAUACGGAAAUACAUACAGUAGAGCUAAAAAAAUACAAUUAUACAGCGAAAUUGUUUCCGGUCGCAAGUACAUCCCACACAGCCAGUCACCGCUAAACGUUUUUGUUCGUAUAUACAUCCCACACCGUCACUCCAAGGAAAAUGUUUGCGCACGGUGGCGUAACGCAAACAGUUUUCAACAGAAUGUCGUGUGUGAUUGUUCAUUGAUCCAACACUGUUUAUUCCUAGAAACUGUGUGCGUUGCCUAAGGUCAUCACCCAUGGUGUUUUCUCAAUAACCGUUUGCAAUAGGAAAACCCAAUUAGCAAGCUAAUUGGCCAAUUAGCGGGCUAAUUGCCCUAUUAUUAAUAAUUCAUUUACUAAUCUAAUUGACAUUCAUAUUAAGCACAUAAUAUAUUCCAUUUCCAUAUUAAGGAAGCAAGAUUUCAUAGGUGAAAUACAUCAGAGUACAACAUGAUAUAGCUUCAGCACUCAGCUACCCCAUUACACAACUGCACCAACAGCAAGUUUCACAUGCAACAUCUAGAACCUUUCGAAAUUAGCAUCAUAGACGGUAUAUAGAGAGAUGCAUCUCAUUUGGAAAACUGCUGAAGCGGAAGGCGAAUAUUGAGCCUUCAUUCAUGUUGAAGGUCUUUGCAACUUUAGGUUAGUGCCUGUGGAUGAUUGACUGUCCAUCCUUCGACCUCUUCAGGAACACUUCAAUAUUGAACCGUGGGUGUUGGAUGAAAACUUUCCUCGCCUUCUGACCCUAGAGGUGGUUUGAGAGGUAAUCAUUAGUGAAGCCUGAAAACAAGGAUGUGGAUAAAUAUCUUCUCUAUAUUGGAAAUGGGGCAAAGGAAUAAAAAAAGGCAAGGUAUAAUAGUUAGUACGAUCUUGUAAACCUCAGUGCUUCCCAUUAUUUCCCCACACAUAUAAGGUAGUUAGUCACCAGGUUAAGUAAGGGUUCGCAUGCUAUCAGUAAAAUAUGUUGAUGAAAAAUAAGCACGUUGCAGAUCCAUCAGAUUAAUUCAAGCCACAUGGAAAACCCAUUUAUCCAAACCAAGCAUGAUUAAGAACUAGGAAAUAUAGCACUUGUAUAUGUUUCUCAUGUAUUAAGUGCAUCCAAAUUCGAUUUAUUCCUCACAUGGUAUACAAUAACAGAAUGCAGCCACAACAAUUGAACAUCGCACUGCAGAAUUGAACCAAGCAGUUAACUAAACACCACAACAAAUGAACCAAACGUUAACUGAGCACCACAUUACAAAAUAUAACAUACUCCUAAUAGAAGAUCAGACAGUUAACCAAACCAAGCAUGCUUAACAACUUGGAAAUAUUGCACCCUGAAGAAUUGAACAUCACAUUUGCAGAAUUGAACCAAGCAGUUAGCUGAACACCACAUUGCACGACAUAUAGAACAUAUACACUAUAGCAGAAGAUUGCAUGGUAGAAGUAGAUAGCACAUUUCACUAGAAUUUGUUAAGGAAAGGCAGUAGCUAGCAAACUGAACAUGGGUCCUUAUAGUGAGCUAAAAGUAGAUAGCACAAUUCACUAGAAUUUGUUAAGACAAGCUACUCCUCAUUAUCGGAGAUAUCGAUGACGAUUGGCUCCUUGGACAUGGAAGAGGGCGAGGCCUUCGCAUCGUGGGUGCCCUCGUUGUAGUGGUGAGUUGCCUGAGCCGCUCCGGGCAUGAACCUGCUGGCUCUCGAGAUGAGGUAAGCACGUGCACGCUGAGAAAACACCUCGUAGUCUUCGUCGAAGGCACCGACGGUGGCCUCGAGAAAACGCCACGAACUGUCGUUUAAAGCAGCCAACCGCGUCGCGGUGUCGGUGCGCGAGGAGUCAACGGUGGCCUCGACGGCGAGGUGCUCCUCCAAGAUCUGGGGGUCAGCACGAAUGGCAGCCAUCGCAACCUCAUCCGCGCGUGCGGCCGUGAUUUGCUUCUCCGCUGUCAAAUGCUCCUUGAGAUCCUGGCUAUACUGCGUGCACCAUGGCUUAGGCCGGCGAUUAUUUGGUGGAGGGGUUGGUGAUUUGGGUGGAAGGUGUCACGCUCGCACCGACGGUCGGGGCAUGUGGGAUGUGGAAGGAGGAGGAGGAUGGGGGGCGGGUGUGGAUUACCUGUCUGGAUAGGCGAGGCGGAGCAGCAUGAAGGAGGGUCGCCUGCGAGGAGGCGGCGCUGCAAGCAAGGAGUGAAGGUUUCAACUUGGAAAGGAAGGCGGAAACAGGGGAAAUGUGGCUUUUGGUAAGGGGGAGGGGGCGGGGAGGUAGAUAUUUUCGUGGAAGCCGAAAAUUUGGAAUCGCUUCAACGAAAAAACUGGCGCGCAAAGUGUCUCAGACACGGUCCCUUAUUCAGUGCGGGCUGUGGACUGUAGCCAUCACACCUUCUCGCGUAAGCCGUAUGCGUACUAUACUCCGACGGUGCUCCAAGAUAUUUUGUGCUGCAUCUCACACGGUUGGUUAUAAUAAACUAUGUGGGAUCUACUAGAUUUUUCGUCUUGAUUUGAAUUACAUAAUGCGGUCACAGCGGCCAUGGACGGUGUUUGAAUUGCUAGACCUUUUAUCUACAGUGAACAUGCAACUAUAUGUGUGCCAUAAAAGAUUUGGAAUUAUUUAGGGUUCGUUUGGACAUUUUAUGCAUUAACUGAGUUUUCAAUGCAUUUAUGUGCAUAAUUCAAAUUUGAACUACAUGCACAUGCUCCAGUGCAUAUAAAUUGGUUGAAAAAUCAAAUCUUUGUCCUUGGGUGCAUGCUUAGGUCCCAUGAAAGAAAUGGGAAUGAAUGUCAAACACCCUGCCACGGUCACUCGGCCACAAACAUUGAGAUACCUUGUUUUUAAAUUCUAGUAAAUCCAAAACUCGUCUGAAAUUCAUGAAACUUGGCAUGCUAUCAUGGAGCGGCAUCAACAUGCCGUGGUAAAUUUUUUGUCCCAUUUGGGGCAGGUUUGGGUAUAUGCUUCUCACAAACCAGAGCUUCUGACAACAAGCAUGAUGGUUUCGGUAGGGAACGCCCCACCUUUGGGGACGAAACGAUAUCCAUUGUCUCUUAUUGCUUUAAAAAAAAUUCUCGUGUCAACAUAGAACAACAGGAGUGUUGUGUUAUUUUUUGUGAUUUUUCGGGGUUCGUUUGGACAUUUUUAUGCAUUAAUUGAGUUUUCAAUGCAUUUAUGUGCAUAAUUCAAAUUUGAACUACAUGCUCAUGGUACAGUGCAUAUAAAUUGGUUGAAAAUUCAAAUAUGUGUCCUUGGUUGCAUGCUUAGGUCCCAUGCAAGAAAUGUGAAUGAAUUUCAAACACCAGGGCACGGUCACUCGGCCGCAAACAUUGAGAUACCUGGUUUCUAAAUUCUAGUAAAUCCAAAGCUCGUCUGAAAUUCAUGAAACUUGGCAUGCCAUAAUGGAGCGGUAUCAACAUGCCGUGGUAAAUUUUUUGUCCCAUUUGGGGCAGGUUUGGGGAUAUGCUUCUCACAAACCAGAGCUUCUCACAACAAGCCGGAUGGUUUCGGUAGGGAACAUCCCACCUUUGGGGACGAAAUGAUAUCCAUUGCCUCUUAUUGCUUUCAAAUUUUUUCUCGUGUCAACAUAGAACAACAGGAGUGUUGUGUCGAUCUUUGGAAUUUUUCGGGGUUUGUUUGGACAUUUUUAUGCAUUAAUUGAUUUUUCAAUGCAUUUAUGUGCAUAAUUCAAAUUUGAACUACAUGCACAUGCUCUAAUGCAUAUAAAUUGGUUGAAAAAUCAAAUCUGUGUCCUUGGGUGCAUGCUUAAGUCCCAUGUAAGAAAUGGGAAUGAAUGUCAAACACCAGGGCACGGUCACUCGGCCGCAAACAUUGAGAUACCUGGUUUUUAAAUUCUAGUAAAUCCAAAACUCGUCCGAAAUUCAUGUAACUUGGCAUGCUAUCAUGGAGCGGCAUCAACAUGCCGUGGUAAUUUUUUUGUUCCAUUUGGGGCAGGUUUGGGGAUAUGCUUCUCACAAACCAGAGCUUCUCACAACAAGCGUGAUGGUUUCGGUAGGGAACAUCCCACCUUUGGGGACGAAAUGAUAUCCAUUGCCUCUUAUUGCUUUCAAAUUUUUUCUCGUGUCAACAUAGAACAACAGGAGUGUUGUGUCAAUUUUUGGGAUUUUUCGGGGUCCGUUUGGACAUUUUUAUGCAUUAGUUGAGUUUUCAAUGCAUUUAUGUGCAUAAUUCAAAUUUAAACUACAUGCACAUGCUGUAAUGCAUAUAAAUUGGUUGAAAUUCAAAUAUGUGUCCUUGGUUGCAUGCUUAGGUCCCAUGCAAGAAAUUGGAAUGAAUUUCAAACACCAGGGCAACAUUGAUUGCCGGCAAAACGUUGAGAUACUUUGUUUUUAAAUUCUAGUAAAUCCAAAGCUCGUCUGAAAUUCAUGAAACAUGGCAUGCUUUCAUGGAAUGGCAUCAACAUGCCGUGGUAAAUUUUUUUGUCCCAUUUGGGGCAGGUUUGGGUAUAUGCUUCUCACAAACCAGAGCUUCUCACAACAAGCAUGAUGGUUUUGGUAGGGAACGCCCCACCUUUGGGGACGAAACGAUAUCCAUUGCCACUUAUUGCUUUCAAAAAAUUUCUCGUGUCAACAUAGAACAACAGGAGUGUUGUGUCAUUUUUUUGAUUUUUCGGGGUUCGUUUGGACAUUUUUAUGCAUUAACUGAGUUCUCAAUGCAUUUAUGUGCAUAAUUCAAAUUUGAACUACAUGCACAUGCUCCAGUGCAUAUAAAUUGAAAAUCUAAUCUUUGUUCUUGGGUGCAUGCUUAGGUCCAAUGCAAGAAAUGGGAAUGAAUUUCAAACACCAGGGCACCAUUGAUUGCCGGCAAAAUGUUGAGAUACUUUGUUUUUAAAUUCUAGUAAAUCCAAAACUCGUCUGAAAUUCAUGAAACUUGGCAUGCUAUAAUGGAAUGGAACUCGACAUGCUAUGGUAUUUUUCGUAUCCAUUCUGAGAGAAGGCGCACUCGAAUAAUAGCCAACAAAGGCAUUUUGAAAAAAUAGCUGCCACUUUAAUAUCUCAAAUGUUUGUAUAAUUCAAACCGUGUGCGUUAUGUUAACCAUUCACGUGACGCCACGUGUCUUGGUUUUAAUGGCUAUAGGUUUUAAUGGCUCUUGAUCGCAAAUGUUUUAGAUAGAACACCCGUAUGCAAAGUGAGAGCAGGAUUUGCGCAUCUCUUGAACACAAACGGUUCUUUUGGAUGACCCGCGUGAACCACUUACAAACAAUUUGGUGCGAUUUGCAUCUGUCAUAUUGGGUAUGUUGCCAUUUGUCAAACUAGAAAGAUUGACAUUUGUUGAUCUAGUAACAUUGCCAUUUGCCAACCUUGUAACACUGCGAUUUGUCAAAAUAUGAAGCUAAAAAUCACUAGCAGUAUCUAAUUUUUGCAACUAAAAUUCAGUAAUUAAGCAUAGAUUGAGGCGAGGAGGCGUGUUCAGCUGGGCGUGCAGCGGGUGGCGCAGUACUAUUCGAUUUGACAGCGGGCGGCGCAGUUCCUGAUACGGCUUUAAUGCAGAUGAGGGAGAGGGUAGCGGUUCCCGAAAUGUUGAACGACCAAUGAUGCAUCCUCCUUCAAUUAGCAUCGUGUGAAUGCAUGAGGGAAGUAAUGGGAGGAGGACCGGGAAAAGAGGUAGCACAAUGUGAAUGCAACGCAGUUUGCACUCAUAUAAAGGCGCCCCUCCAUUCCAAUGCAUCUACCACAUCGUACGCACCUAAGCAUUUGCCUAAGCACCUACACUAAUAAGCGCAAAAGUGCUCACUCUAGACCCAUGGCGGCAAUGCGCGCGAGCGGCCAGCGGCUGUGCCAGAUGGUCCACGAUGUCGGCCUACGGCAUGGCACCGGGGAUCAUCUCCACACGGUGUUGGCGACCGGCUAGUGGAUGGCCGCCGUCGACGCCAGCUACGACUCUCAGUAUGACCAGAUGAUCGUUUGCACCACCAACAGGUUCACCAUCGUCAAGAAGCUCGCGGACGACAUCGCCGUACUCCUCCAGCCCGCACACCCGGGGUCCUCAUUGCCUGCCACCCUAAUCGGCCUCCAUGGUCGGAACCUCUUUCAAGCACCGAUGGCCUUGCGACUUCUCGCUGAUGCCACAAGGAAUGUCCACCUGGAGGUCGCGCUCGCCGCGAGGCGCCUCUCCCUGCAAGAAACCAUAUACCUACACAUCCAUUGGUUAGUCCAUUAUAGAAGAUAUCAAGUAUUUCAUUUUUCUUAAGAGGAUGAUCAGGCAAAGCAUUAAGCAAUUGGAGAAUCCUCCCCCAAGCUUGUGGGAGACUCUCUUCUUCAAUUUGCACGAAGUUAAAUAUUUCCUGUAAGGCAUCUUGUUUCUUAUGAGUAGGAAAAUAUUUUUCAGAGAAGUAAUAAAUCAUAUCCUGGGGACUACGCACACAACCAUGAUCAAGAGUAUUAUACCAAGUCUUAGCAUCACCCUUUAAUGAGAACGGAAAUAAUUUGAGAAUAUAAUAAUAGCGAAUCUUCUCAUCAUGGGCAAAAAGGGUGGCUAUGUCAAUCAACUUAGUAAGAUGUGCCACAAUAGUUUCAAUAUCAUAACCAUGGAAAGGAUUAGAUUCAACCAAAAUAAUUAACUCUGGGUCGAUGGAGAAUUCAUAAUCCUUAUCAUCAACAAAGAUAGGUGAAGUAGCAAACUUAGGAUCACAUUUCAUUCUAGCAUUUAAAGAUUUCUCGUUCAGUUUGCAUAAUAAUUUCUUAAGAUCAUACCUAUCAUUGCAAGCAAGAAAGUCUCUAGUUGUCUCCUCAUCCAUAACAUAACCUUUCGGUACCUUUGGAAAUUCAUAUCUAGGAGAACUAGGUGUAAUAGGUGUUUCAAGAUUUUUCAGUUUCAAGCUCUUCAUCAGUUUCAGCAUUCUCAAAAGCUUUAGUUCUAGCAAGUUGUUCAUCAACAAAUUCACCUAGUGGCACAUUAUCAUCAAGCAAGGUACUAGCAUCAUCAUGAAUAUCAUUCAUAGUAGAAGUGGCAUCAUCAAUAACUUGCGACAUAUCAGGAUUAAUAGCAUGUGGUGGUGUUGCAAGUCUACUUAUAACAGAAGGUGAAUCAAGUGCAGAGCUAGAUGGCAAUUCCUUACAUCCCCUCAUCUUAGAGGGAAAAAUCUUAGUCUUAGCAUCCUUCAGAUUCUUCAUAGUGAUAAUUUGAUAAUAAUCCCAAGUGACUCAACAAAUAUAGCUAUGCUUCCCGGCAAUGGCGCUACACUGGUACGCGUCGGUGCUAUACAAACGGUUUUUAACCGCUUUCCGCGACGGCAUUUGGAACCGUCGCCAAGUGAGCGUGGGCGAUAGGGGGGUCCUUCCCACACGACCCAGAAAUCGUCGGGAAUAGGCCCUCCUGGGACACAGGUUGGGGCCGUGUGCGAUUGGGCGAGGCAUUGAAACCUGAUCAUUUUCGUAGGUAUGUACAUCCCACAUGGUAAUCCAAGAAAAACAUUUCCGUAGGUAUGUACAUCCCACACGGUGAAUCCCAGAAAAAUGUUCGUUUGUAUGUAUAUCACACACAGUCAAUCCAAGGAAUACGUUUCCAUUCUUAUGUACAUCCCACACAGUCAAUCCAGGGAAAACGUUUCCAUUCGUAUGUACAUCCCACACAGUUUUAUGUAUACGCUCGUGUGUGAAAGGUGUAACUAUCACACACGCUCUGCCUUGGUUAACUCUUUGCUUUCAUUAACUACAUCACACACGAUUUGAUGUAGAAAACUGUGUGGCAUUGGGCUAUCCAUCACAAACGCUUUUACUGCCAGAACCGUUUGCAAAGUUCCAUGAUCGUCCAUUCUCUUUUUAUUUUUGCCUGUAAUUUAUUACUCGAAUUGUAAAUUUUGAAAUAUGGAACGUGCAAUUCAAAUUCUCAGCACAAUGUUUCAACAACGAAUCCAUAAAUAAAAUUGCCAGUACAAUAUGUUCAGUAAUUACAGGAUUAGGCAGCAAUUAACUAUGAUGAACCAGAGAAUUUAAAGGCGGUAAAGGUGAAGAGACAAGUGUAAAUCAUUUUGACUGCAGACGGUGUUGAAGAAGCGGAAUGCCCAUAAUGUGCCUUCGUGCAUGCCAUAGGCAUGAACCACUUUUGUCCAACCCCUUGUGACGAUCGCAGGCCCAUCCUUCACUGCCUUCAGGAAGAGUUCUAGAGCAUUAUCAUGGUAGCAUGAAUUAUAUGCUUUAACCUUAGUUGCCUCCACUCCGGUCAUGUUUUGCAAGGUAAUCAGUAAAUAGCUUCAGAAACCACUGAAAAGAGAAAAAUAUCAUAUACUGAGGUCUAAUAGAGUAACUUGUUGUGGGCAGGGGAAAAGGCAACACAUUACUUACCAUCCUAAAGUUCACUAUUGUCUUCGACAAAGUGUAAAUAAAGAGCUUAAUUCCACAAAGAUAUUUACUGAACACAUAACUUGUUGUGCCACAAUAGUUUCAAUAUCAUAACCAUGGAAAGGAUUAGAUUCAACCAAAAUAAUUAACUCUGGGUCGAUGGAGAAUUCAUAAUCCUUAUCAUCAACAAAGAUAGGUGAAGUAGCAAACUUAGGAUCACAUUUCAUUCUAGCAUUUAAAGAUUUCUCGUUCAGUUUGCAUAAUAAUUUCUUAAGAUCAUACCUAUCAUUGCAAGCAAGAAAGUCUCUAGUUGUCUCCUCAUCCAUAACAUAACCUUUCGGUACCUUUGGAAAUUCAUAUCUAGGAGAACUAGGUGUAAUAGGUGUUUCAAGAUUUUUCAGUUUCAAGCUCUUCAUCAGUUUCAGCAUUCUCAAAAGCUUUAGUUCUAGCAAGUUGUUCAUCAACAAAUUCACCUAGUGGCACGUUAUCAUCAAGCAAGGUACUAGCAUCAUCAUGAAUAUCAUUCAUAGUAGAAGUGGCAUCAUCAAUAACUUGCGACAUAUCAGGAUUAAUAGCAUGUGGUGGUGUUGCAAGUCUACUUGUGAACUGUAUGCCGCAUAUCACACACAUCUUGUUAAGUUGAACCGUUUCUGUUGUGUUCCCUAAUCGAAAAUAGUUCGUCCAAGUUAACCGUAUGCCGUAUAUCACACACACAUUGAUAUGGCUGCCCGUUUCUGUUGUUCUACCUCAUCGCAAACAGUUCGAAUGGAUUAACCAUGUGUCCUGCAUCGCACACACAUUGUUAUGGCUAUCCAUUUAUGUUGUUCUGCCUCAUCGCAGACAGUUUGAAUGGAUUAACCGUGUGUCCUGCAUCGCACAUGCAACUAAAAUCUGAACCGUGUUUGAUGGCUCCGCCAUCGCAAACGGUUUGCACCUUUUUUGAUGGUUUUUUUACACCACCGUUUGCGAUUAUUGCAUCGCACACAGUUUCGACAAAGGGUCUCUGAUCAUAGUGUCGCGUUAGCAGUAUCCUGCAGUAGUGCUAGAAAAAGGUCUUGAUAACCCACAAGUAUAGGGGAUCGCAAAAGUUUUCGAGGGUAGAGUAUUCAACCCAAAUUUAUUGAUUCCACACAAGGGGAGCCAAAGAAUAUUUGCAAUUAUUAGCAGCUGAGUUGUCAAUUCAACAACACCUGGAGAUUAAUUAUCUAUAGCAAAGUGAUCAGUAGCAAAAUAGUAUGAUAGUUUUUAUAGUAGUAGCAACAACAAUAGUAACAGUAACAGUCAUAGCAACGAUUUUGUAGCAAGUACAAUAGUAAUAUCAGAGAAAUUUGUAGGCAUUGGAUUGGUGAAUAUUUUGAUGAUAUUCAUCAUAUAACAGUCAUAACCUAGGACGAUACGGCACUAGCUCCAGUUCAUAAAUAUAAUGUAGGCAUGUAUUCCGUAAAUAGUCAUACGUGCUUAUGGAAAGAACUUGGAUGACAUGUUUUGUCCUACCCUCCCAUGGCAGUGGGGUCCUAUCAGAAACUAAGGGAUAUUAAGGCCUCCUUUUAAUAGAGAACCAGAACAAAGCAUUAACACGUAGUGAAUACAUGAACUCCUCAAACUACGGUCAUCACCAGGAAGUGUCCCGACUUCUGUCACUCCGGGGUUGCCGUAUCAUAACACGUAGUAGGUGACUAUAACUUGCAAGAUCGGAUCUAGAACAUAGAUAUAAUGGUGAUAACAUAAACGGUUCAUAUCUGAAAUCAUGGCACCCGGGCCCAAAGUGACAAGCAUUAAGCAUGGCAAAGUCAUAGCAACUUCAAUCUCAGAACAUAAUGGAUACUAGGGAUCAAGCCCUAACAAUACUAACUCGAUUACAUGAUGAAUCUCAUCCAACUCAUCACCGACCGGCGAGCCUACGAAGGAAUUACUCACUCCCAGUGGGGAGCAUCAUGGAAUUGUCGAUGGAGAAGGGUUGGUGAUGACAAAGUUCGAAGAUCCCCCUCUCCGGAGCCCCAAACGGACUCCAGAUCUGGCCUCCCGAUGAAGACCAGGAGGUGGCGGCGGCUCCAUCUAGUGAAACGCGAUAAUUCUUUCUCUCGGAUUUUUUCCUCCGAAAAUGUGAAUUUAUAGCGUUGGAAUCAGAGUCUGCGGGGCCACCAGGUGGGGACAACCCACCUGGGCGCGCCUGGAGGGGGUGCCCUGGUGGGUUGUGCCCACCCAGGUGCCCCACUCUGGUGGUUCUUGUCUCCAGAAAUUCUUAUUUAUUGAAUAAAAAUCCUCACAAAUUUUUGUUCCAAUCCGAGAACUUUUAUUUCUGCACAAAAAACAACACCAUGGUAGUUCUGCUAAAAACAGCGCCAGUCCGAGUUAGUUUCAUUCAAAUCAUGCAAAUUAGAGUCCAAAACAAGAGGAAAAGCGUUAGGAAAAGUAGAUACGACGAAGACGUAUCACACACCCAUUCCUUCCUUCUUCCUUCUGAUAUCAUCUCCCCACCAUGGCGAGGAGGAGAGGGCGCAGUGGUGCUCUGGCGGUGGCGAUGAGGGUUUCUGCUUGACAACGCCUCCCUCCUCCCGCCGAGGAUGCGGAGGUAGAGCCCACCGCAAGGGGAGGUGGGAGGGUACGCAGACGUGGCCGUCGUGGCCUUUGGGGCCGAGGAGGGCGAGGCGGCGUUCUGAUCGCGCCUCCCCUGGUGAUUCAGAACCUGAACGAAGGCCACGUCGGGGACCGACCGUUGGAGUUUAUUGUCAAGCUGCGCGGGCCCCCCACAGCCACCUUCGGCUUCCUACCCCAUUUGGAAGGGUAAUGGAGGUGGAACAGCCACCGGGACCGAGGCUGCACAUGAGGGGUUGUUGCAAUUGCAUCAUGUGGGUGAACGUGGAGUUCCCCGUGAUAACCCACAAGUAUAGGGGAUCAGUUGUAGCCUCUUUCGAUAAGUAAGAGUGUCGAACCCAACGAGGAUCUAAAGGUAGAACAAGUAUUCCCUCGAGUUCUAUCGACCAUCGAUACAACACUACGCACGCUUAACGUUGGCUUUACCUAGAACAAGUAUGAAACUAGAAGUACUUUGUAGGUGUGAUAGGAUAGGUUUGCAAGAUAAUAAAGAACACAUAAAUAAAAGCUAGGGGCUGUUUAGAUAAAGAAACAACUAAGUUAGUUUUAGUAGAGAGCUUUUUGUCACAAGAAAGUUAUUUGUCCGCCGGCAAUCGAUAACUAGAUCGGCAUUAUUGCAAUUUUAUAUGAGGGAGAGGCAUAAGCUAACAUACUUUCUAUACUUGGAUCAUAUGCACUUAUGAUUGGAACUCUAGCAAGCAUCCGCAACUACUAAAGAUCAUUAAGGUAAAACCCAACCAUAGCAUUAUAAGGUAUCAAAUCCUCUUUAUUCCCAUACGCAAACAACCUACUUACUCGGGUUUGUGCUUCUGUCACUCACUCUACCCACCAUAAGCGAAUCAUGAACAUAUUGCAAACCCUACAGUAGGGACCCCUCACGCUUGUGUGACACGGAGCGCACCAUUGGACAACACCAAUAAUAAAACAUGCAACUCAAACCAAUCACGAUCAUCAAUCAACCCAUAGGACAAAACGGAUCUACUCAAGUAUCAUAGGGUAGCCAAACAUCAUUGGGAAAUAAUAUAUAGUGUUGAGCACCAUGUUUAAGUAGAGAUUAGAACGGGGAGAAGGGGUGUUACACUGCUGCAUAGAGGGGGAGAGAGUUGGUGAUGACGGCGGCAAAGUUGUUGGUGUAGAUCGCCGUCACGAUGAUGGCCCCGGCGGUGUUCCGGCGCCACCAGGAGAGAGGGGAGAGAUCCCCCUCCUCCUUCUUCUUCUUCUUCUUCCUUGACCUUCCCCCUAGAUGGGAGAAGGGUUUACCCUCUGGUCCAUGGCCUCCAUGGCGGCGGAGGGGCGGGAGCCCCUCCGACAUUGGAUCUCUCUCUCUCUCUCUCUCUCUCUCUCUCUCUCUCUCUCUCUCUCUCUCUCUGUUUCCUUCUAUUUCUGCGCUCCCAGAUUCGGGCCUUUCACCGUUUCUUAAAUUCCCGGAGAUCCGUAACUCCGAUUAGGCUGAAAUUUUAACACUGUUUUUAUCCGGAUAGUAUCUUUCUUGCGGCGGAAGAAGGGCACCAACUGCCUUACGGGGUGGCCACAAGCCCCCUGGCCGUGCCCAGGGUAGGGCGGCGCACCUCCAGGGCUUGUGGGCCCCUCGAGCAUCGUCUCGCGUUGAUUCCAAUUCCCAAAAAUCAUAUAUAUUCCAAAAAAAAUCUCCGCAAGUUUUUAUCGCAUUUGGACUUCGUUUGCUAUGGAUAUUCUGCGAAACAAAAAACAUGCAACAAACAGAAACUGGCACUGGGCACUGGAUCAAUAUGUUAGUCCCAAAAAUAGUAUAAAAAGUUGCCAAAAGUAUAUGAAAGUUGUAGAAUACUGGCAUGAAACAAUCAAAAAUUAUAGAUACGAUGGAGACGUAUCAACAUCCCCAAGCUUAACUCCUGCUCGUCCUUGAGUAGGUAAAUGAUAAAAAGAUACUUUUUUAUGUGGAAUACUACCUAGCAUAAUCUUGAUCAUAUAAUCUAAUCAUGGCACGAAUAUUAAGACACACGUGAUUCAAAGCAAUAGUCUAUCAUUUGACAUUACAACAAUAAUACUUCAAGCAUACUAAUAAAGCAAUCAUGUCUUAUCAAAAUAACAUGGCCAAAGAAAGUUAUCCCUACAAAAUCAUAUAGUUUAGCUAUGCUCCAUCUUCAUCACAUAAAGUAUUUCAUCAUGCACAACCCCGAUGACAAGCCACGCAAUUGUUUCAUACUUUUAUUGUUCUCAAGGCUUUUCAACUUUCAUGCAAUACAUGAGCAUGGGCAAUGAUAUAGCACUAUAGGUGGAAUAGAAAUGAUGGUGGAGGUCGUGUGGAGAAGAUGAAAAUGAAGAAAGUCUCACAUCGACGCGGCUAACCAACGGGCUAUGGAGAUGCCCAUCAAUUGAUAUCAAUGCGAGGAGUAGGGAUUGCCAUGCAACGGAUGCACUAAGAGCUAUAAGUGUAUGAAAGCUCAAACUGAAAACUAAGUGGGUGUGCAUCCAAGUUGCUUGCUCAUGAAGACCUUGGGCAUUUGAGGAAGCCCAUCAUCGAAAUAUACAAACCAAGUUCUAUAAUGAAAAUUCCCACUAGUAUAUGAAAGUGAUAACUCAAGAGACUCUCUAUAUGAAGAACAUGGUGCUAAUCUAAAGCACAAGUGUGGUAAAAGGAUGUCGGUGGAAACGACACCUAUGGGAUCACUGGGAUCCCUUCUACGGUUGGCGGGCGCGGGGUUGUGCAAAGAGCAGGUCUAGAAGCCAGCACAAGGAUCGUUUACCCAGGUUCGGGCCGCGAGGAUGCGUAAAACCCUAGUCCUGCUUUGGUGUAUGUAUUUGAGUGUUCUUGAGUUCUUGAACUAGCUACGGUGUGUCCCUAGUCCAAAAGAUCCGAAUCCUCCUCCUGGUCGCCUCGGGCCUCCUUUUAUAGACAAAAGGGGUUGCCACAGUGGCACACAGGAGGUGGAAAGGUGUACAGUGGAUGAGUCUAUCCUCUGGCACCGUCGGACAAACGCAUUCAAUGCGCUGCCAACGUGCCCCUCUUGCUUUAUCGGGGACGGCAAGGAAGCUCGUCCCAGCUGUCGCUGCCUCGCCUGGCUGCGACGCGCGUCCGAGCUGACGAGGCAUUGUAGCGCCACGUUGGCUGGCUGCUGGGCUGGCGCAGUGUGAUACGUCCAUUUUGCAUCAUGCUUUUGUAUUGAUAUUUACUGCAUUAUGGGCUGUUAUUACACAUUAUGUCACAAUACUUAUGCCUAUUCUCUCUUAUUUUACAAGGUUUACAUAAAGAGGGAGAAUGCCGGCAGCUGGAAUUCUAGGCUGGAAAAGGAGCAAAUAUUAGAGACCUAUUCUGCACAACUCCAAAAGUCCUGAAACUCCACGGAAGUUAUUUUUGGAAAUAAUAAAAAAUACUGAGCGAAGAAAAUACCAGAGGGGGCCCACACCCUGGCCACGAGGGUGGGGGGCGCGCCCUACCCCCCUGGGCGCGCCCCCUGCCUCGUGGGUCCCCUGGUGGCCCUCCGGUGCCCAUCUUCUGCUAUAUGAAGUCUUUCGUACGAGAAAAAACCAUAAGCAAGCUUACGAGACGAAACUCCGCCGCCACGAGGCGGAACCUUGGCGGAACCAAUCUAGGGCUCCGGCAGAGCUGUUCUGCCGGGGAAACUUCCCUUCGGGAGGGGGAAAUCAUCGCCAUCGUCAUCACCAACGAUCCUCUCAUCGGGAGGGGGUCAAUCUCCAUCAACAUCUUCACCAGCACCAUCUCCUUUCAAACCCUAGUUCAUCUCUUGUAUCCAAUCUUUGUCCCAAAGCCUCAGAUUGGUACCUGUAGGUUGCUAGUAGUGUUGAUUACUCCUUGUAGUUGAUGCUAGUUGGUUUGUUUGGUGGAAGAUCAUAUGUUCAGAUCCAUUAUGCAUAUUAAUACCCCUCUGAUUAUGAACAUGAAUAUGAUUUGUGAGUAGUUACAUUUUGUUUCUGAGGACAUGGGAGAAGUCUUGCUAUUAGUAGUCAUGUGAAUUUGGUAUUCGUUCGAUAUUUUUAUGAGAUGUAUGUUGUCUCUUCUCUAGUGGUGUUAUGUGAACGUCGACUACAUGACACUUCACCAUUGUUUGGGCCUAGAGGAAGACAUUGGCAAGUAAUAAGUAGAUGAUGGGUUGCUAGAGUGACAGAAGCUUAAACCCUAGUUUAUGCGUUGCUUCGUAAGGGGCUGAUUUGGAUCCAUAUGUUUCAUGCUAUGGUUAGGUUUACCUUAAUACUUCUUUUGUAGUUGUGGAUGCUUGCAAUAGGGUUAAUCAUAAGUGGGAUUCUUGUCCAAGUAAGGACAGCACCCAUGCACCGGUCCACCCACAUAUCAAAUUAUCAAAGUACCGAAUGCGAAUCAUAUGAACGUGAUGAAAACUAGCUUGAUGAAAUUCCCAUGUGUCCUCAGGAGCGUUUUCCUUCCUAUAAGAAAUUGUCCAGGCUUGCCCUUUGCUACAAAAAGGAUUGGGCCAUCUUGCUGCACUUUAUUUACACUUGUUACUUGUUACUCGUUACCAAUUACCUUAUCACAAAAAUAUCUGUUACGAUAAUUUCAGUGCUUGCAGAGAAUACCUUGCUGAAAACCGCUUAUCAUUUCCUUCUGCUCCUCGUUGGGUUCGACACUCUUACUUAUCGAAAGGACUACGAUAGAUCCCCUAUACUUGUGGGUCAUCAUGGUGGUGGAGUCUUCACGAAGAUCUGCAUGCCACUGCGCAGGUGCUUGCUGAGUCGGCGUAGAGGCCGCACGCUGCCACGCAGGUGCCUGCCCAGCUGGUUGAGCUAGCAGCUGCAUGGGAGCGGCGGUGUAGUCUUAGCAGACGUGGGCCUGGCCGCGGCCCCGUAAGUGUCCUCGGCAAGGGCCCUGCGGGGGCCCCGACAAGGGUCUUGCCGCUGCACCGUGGUCGUCCCCGGCAAGAGGUCUCGUGGAUCUCCUCGGCAAGGAUCUCGCCGAGGGUCGUCGCCUUCUGGUCCUCAUCUGAUCUUGUGUGUUUAUGAUCUUGACGAAGAUCUGCAUGCCACCACAGAGGCGCCCCCCGAGCCUUGGUUCCAAUGUGGUUGGUUGGUGGUGUUGGAACCCGUGGGCUCAAGGGUGGCAUCCUCUGCUGGCGUCGGGCAAGUUGCCCCGGCAUGGCUCUUGCCGGGGCUGUGGAGGCUGCCCCGGUAAGGAUCUUGCCGGGGGAGUCCAUCUCGCCCUCUCGCUCUUUGUGUCUUUGGUCUCGGUGUUGCUCUGGUUGUCUUGUGCCUUCGGCUUCCCUCCUCUGCCCUACUUAGUGUGGCCGUGGGCGUGGCUCCGACUGCCCGUGCACAAGUAAAGGGGUAAAAAGGAGCGCCCCUACUUUUGUACACUGACAGGAGCCCUGGGCCUGGGCCACACAUAAGCACAACGCGUUGUUGGGCCGGGCCCAGAAUGGUGCAUGGGCAGACGGGGCGGGAUUUUACCGCGGUAACUUUUUCGCUCGCUUGCGCUUCCCCAUGACCCGUGUUGAAUGUGCGUCGUGGAGGGUCGUGUGUGACGUGGGGGUCAUGCGUGGGGCGAUUCCUGCACACAUGCGUCACGUCACAGUAAAGAGGUAGCUCGCGCCUUCCCCAUAAAAAGAGGAAAACGCAGAGGCGUGGCUCAUUUAAUGAGCGGGCUCGGGUCGCGGUGUUCAAGGCGUCCGCGCCCCACGAUCACGGGGUGGGGAACGGUCGCCACACCCGUCCCCUCGAUUUCUUCUUGCUUGCCACGUGUUCCCCAUGCCUUGAAGGUGGCAGGCAGUGGAGACGGGAAACCGGGCCAUCGCUGAUUGGAGCAGCGGGUCGGUCCCGAUUCCCUGCGCCCCCGACAGCCGGAUUGGUUGAGUGGGGCAGCCGAGCCCCGAUCCCGCCCCUUUAUAAAAAAGGGGGGAGGGGGAUGGCACCCCCACGUUCUAUCAUCAUCCAUCUCCUUCCACCUCGUCUCCUUCCUUCCAUCUGCCAUGGCGAGAGGAGGCGCUGGCCCUUCGACGGUGACAGCGAGGGUCUCUGCUCGACAGCGCGUCCCUCCUCCCCAAGAGCUCGCGGCGGCGGAGCCAGCCAUGAGAGGAAGGGGGAGGGGGCGAGGCCGAGGUCGUCGUGGCGCUCGGGGAAGAGGGGGACGGGGCGGCGCACCGGCCUUGCCUCCGACGGCGAUGCCUCCCCCAAUGGAGGGCCACGUCGGGGACCAGUCCCGGGAGUUCUUCAUCAAGCUGCGCCGGCCACCGCGUCAUCGUCUUUGUAUCCCCACCCCAUUCGCUCGGGAGAUGGAGCUCGACCCGCCACAGACCCUCAGGUUGCAUAUGAGGGGCUGCGGGAAUGGUGGCAUGCGGGUCGACGUCGUCUUUCCCGCUCCUCAUGUCAUGUACCUUCAUCGUGGAUGGAAGACUUUCGCUCGUGUCCACAGCCUGACGGCGGGGCUCGUUCUCUACUUCAAAUUAAUGGAGAACGGCCUGCUCUCCGUCAAGGUAUUUGGGGACCUUGGAACUCGCCUGAAGUGUUGCGUGGAGAGCUCCUCCAAUGAUGAAGACUCUUCCUCGAGCAGGAGUGACGAGGAGGACAGCGACAGCGACGACGAGGGCGUCUAGCGGGGCGACGCCGACCUCGACUCCGACUGACCGCGUGGUCCCUUCCUCGGCCACGCGCCCUGCCGAGGGCCUUCCUCGUCAAGCUCUCCAUCGGCGCGUUCCCCGCUGCCUCCUUGGGCGGCUGGCGUAGGAGGGCCGGAGAAGACGAAGAAGGCGGGCCGUCAAGUCGGAGUACGCGGGCACCGACGCCUUCAUCGCGUAUUGUCGGCCCGCUGCCUCAUCUUCUGGCUCCUCUCCCGGCAUCGGGAUGCUCUCCUGGUGUCUUCUGCUGCUCGUACCUCGCCUAGGCGCUCUUUUUGCCCUCCUGCUACCUUGUUCCAUCUUCUGAGGAGAGGGACAAGAAAGGGAUUACGGGCUUCUUAUCUCUUUUUAGUUUGUAAGCCCACGAGCACUUGUUAGAUUUAAAACUUGUAAUCCCCUUGCUCAUGUUUUUCAUCCCGUAUGAACUAUACCUGUAUGGGAAAUUUUUAAUGAAAAAGGGUACUUGUCGGGUUCUUUGUGCAUGAGCGAGGCCCAUGCCAAGGAGUGAAUCCUUGUUAUUUUUAAGAUAAACAUUGUUGCCCGGCAACAGGCCUUGCCGUCCCCUUACUUCAUCUGACCAUUCUCACGCUCUUGGCGGAGGCAGGGGGUGAAGUAGAGUUAGGCCCUUCGUUUAUUUCCUUGUCACCGCGACUGUGACCCAGUUCCGACCUAGGGAAUAGUUUCUGGGUACAGAAAGAAGGGGGAGCACGGCGACCUAGGAAUAAAACGAGGUUUCACACGUCCUAACUUCAUAUGGGAAUGCACAAUUGGGGAUGAAAGACUUAUCUGGAUCCGCAGCGCCCGGCAGCCUUGGUUUGCCGUGGUUGGAUUCUUACGUCUGGAGCCCCCGGCAACCUUGGGCUUGCCGGGGCCGGAAUGUCAACUUGUUCUCUUCCUUCCAAACAGCUCAGCAGAAACGUCCCUGUACCCUACAAACCAAAGAGGACGGAAAGGAACAGAGAGACGCACACUCGACCUCUAUGCUAGGGGUUAGUCGCCGCUAAGCACUGUCAACCCUAACCGAGGGAGAGACCUAACCUAGCAUGCAUGCUAAAACUUAGGGCGCCAGCACUUCAUUUAUUUAUGCUCAGGGUCUGCGCCUGGCUUUGUACAGAGGGUUACAUGCCUCGCCGGCAUGGCUUGUACAAAAGGUGGUUUGCCGGGGGGCCCGGCAACCGAGCCUUAUGGGUAAAACUUACGAAGAUGUUUGAUGUUCUAGGAGUUGCUCACUGGAAUAGCAUCUUCGGUCUCCAGGCGAACUGCGCCAGUCUUGGUGACUCGUAUUACCCGAUAAGGGCCUUCCCACUUCGGCGUCAACUUGUUGGAAUUCUUAGCCGACUGAACGCGCCGAAGAAUAAGGUCGCCUUCCUCAAGCUUCGGGCAUGAACCUUGCAGCUAUGGUAGCGGCGCAAGGCUUGCUGGUAGCGCGCUGCUCUCACAGCCGCCCGAAGACGAUCUUCCUCGAGGAGCGUUGCGUCAUCUUGCCGCAAUUGCUCUUGCUCAAACUCGUCAUAAGCGAGCACUCAAGGUGACCCGUAUGUGAUUUUCGUGGGGAGAACUGCUUCUGCCCCGUAUACCAGGGCAAAGGGUGUCUGGCCAGUGGCUCGAUUUGGUGUUGUUCUGAUUGACCAAAGAACCGCCGGCAACUCAUCAAUCCAGCGCCUUCCGCUCUUGUGCAUUUUGUCAAAAGUCUUUGUUCUCAGGCCUCGCAGUACUUCAGCAUUUGCCCUCUCCGCCUGGCCGUUGCUCCGUGGGUGUGCCACGGAAGCGAAACAGACCAUGCUGCCGAGGUCCUGGAUGUACUGCAUGAAGGUGUGGCUUGUGAAGUGCGUGCCGUUGUCGGUGAUGACUCUGUUUGGCACACCAAAACGGCAGACUAGCCCCUUGAAGAACUUGACGGCUGACUGUGCUGUCACCUUCCUCACUGCCUCCACCUUCGGCCACUUUGUGAACUUGUCGAUUGCAACGUACAAGUACUCAAAGCCCCUGACAGCGCGGGGGAAAGGGCCCAUUAUGUCAAGCCCCCAGACCGAAAAUGGCCAGGAGAGAGGAAUUGUUUGAAGGGCUUGAGCUGGUUGAUGAAGCUUCUUCGAAUGGAACUGGCACGCUUCACACCUUGUUACUAGUGCCGUUGCAUCCUGGAGGGCAGUGGGCCAGAAGAAACCUUGCCAGAAUGCCUUGCCGGAAAGGGCCCUCGACCCUAUGUGGGAGCCACAUAUGCCUCCAUGUAUCUCUGCCAACAGCUCCAGUCCUUCCUCCUGGGGAAUGCACUUCGAUUUCACACCGUUCGAUCUUUUUCUGUACAGGACGUCGUCGACAAACUGAUACAUGGCAGACCGACGGGCUACUUUCUCCGCUUCUUCCUGCUCCUCAGGAAGUUCCCCUGUCUGGAGGAACCGGACGAUAUGAUGUGCCCAUGCCGGAGCCUGGGGCUCGACGGCAAGGACUAAAGGCACUUCCUCCCCCAUGGGAGCGGCUGUCUGUACGGCUAGGGCUUGACGCCCUGCCGGAGUCGGUUGCCCCAUGGCAGGCUCAGUGUCCACAGCAGCAUCCAUGCCGGCGGCUCCUGGGAGCUCGGCGGGAAAGUACUUGCAAGGGCCUGAUUUCCUCCCCUUGUUCUGCUCUGUGGAUGGUUUAACGGAUGGCUGAGUUAACCGAAGCACAAAAGUACCUGGUUCCACAGGUAGUUUGAAGGCAGCGCGCUUUGACAGGUAAUCGGCGAUGUCGUUCUCCGCUCGGGGAACGUGCUCUGCUUGUAUACCGUCAAAGCGCUCUUCCAGCUUCCUCACCUCAUCUACAUAGGCCUCCAUCAACGGGCUCUGAUAAUCUUUGUUGACUUGUGAAAGUGCAACUGUCCCUGGGUGGUUUUGGUAAUUCCUAACAACAUAUAGCUCAUUGAGCUAAUGCUACUUCAAGAUAAAUAUUUCAGGAAAGCUCAAUGAUUGGCAUGGCAUGGACUAGGAAGUGGACCCUUCAAAAUGCUAAGGACAAAAGAUUGGCUCAAGCUCAAAAGCACAAGACUCUACAUUUUCUAUUUUAGUGAUCCAAGAUCACAUUGAGUCUAUAGGAAAAGCCAAUACUAUUAAGAAGGGAUGAGGUGUUGCUUAAUGAGGUGCUUGCUCAAAAUGCUUAGUGAUAUGCUCCAAAACCCUCCACUACUUUCUCAUAUCCACAUAUGUCCCAAACCACAAGUCCAACUCAGCCCCACCAAUUCUUUCUAUCCGGCGCCACCGAGUUCAGUUGACAUAGCCACUGCCAAAAAACCCUAGUCUUUUCGGUCUCACCGAUAGGGAUCUCGGUCUCACCGAGAUGGGAUUGUAAUCUCUCUAUUUCCUCUUCGUAACGUUUCGGUCCAACCGAGAUGAGCGAUCGGUCCCACCGAGAUUGCAAUGCAAACACUCUGUUUCCUUUUCGUAACGUUUUGGUCCUACCGAGAUGAGCGAAUCGGUCCCACCGAGUUUGCCUGACCAACUUUCUGUUUGACUAUUACCAAAAUCGGUCGCACCGAGUUUGUGUAAUCGGUCACACCGAGAUUACGUUAUGGCCUAACCCUAAUGAUAUCGGUUCCAACGAGUUGACAUGUCGGUCCCACCGAAACACCUAACGGACACAUUAUGAACCAAAUCGCUCUGACCGAGUUCUCUGAAUCGGUCCUAUCGAGUUUGGUGAUUUGUGUGUAAUGGUUACAUUUUGUGUGGAGGCUAUAAAUACCCAUCCACCCACUCUUCAUUCGUGGAGAGAGCCAUCAGAACAUGCCUACACUUCCAAUACAUAUUUUCUGAGAGAGAACCACCUACACUUGUGUUGAGGUCAAGAUAUUCCAUUCCAACCACAUAAAUCUUGAUCUCUAGCCUUCCCCAAGUUGCUUUCCACUCAAAUCUUCUUUCCACCAAAUCCAAUCCUAUGAGAGAGAGUUGAGUGUUGGGGAGACUAUCAUUUGAAGCACAAGAGCAAGGAGUUCAUCAUCAACACACCAUUUGUUACUUCUUGGAGAGUGGUGUCUCCUAGAUUGGCUAGGUGUCACUUGGGAGCCUCCGACAAGAUUGUGGAGUUGAACCAAGGAGUUUGUAAGGGCAAGGAGAUCGCCUACUUCGUGAAGAUCUACCCUAGUGAGGCAAGUCCUUCGUGGGCGACGGCCAUGGUGGGAUAGACAAGGUUGCUUCUUCGUGGACCCUUCGUGGGUGGAGCCCUCCGUGGACUCGCGCAACCGUUACCCUUCGUGGGUUGAAGUCUCCAUCAACGUGGAUGUACGAUAGCACCACCUAUCGGAACCACGGAUAAAAAAUCUCCGUGUCAACAUUGCGUUUGCUCCCUCAAACUCAUCUCUUUACCUUCAUAUGCAAUUUUUUACAUUCCGCUGCUAUACUCUUAGAAUUGCAUGUGUAGGUUGAUUGCUUGACUUGUGCUAAGUUGUUAAAAUCUGCCAAGAACUAAAAUUGGGAAAAGGCUAGAUUUUUAUUUGGACAAGUAGUCUAAUCACCCCCCCUCUAGACAUACUUUCGAUCCUACAAGUGGUAUCAGAGCUUUGGUCUCCAUUUGCUUUGAUUUUCAUAGCUUUUGGUGGUCAUAGCCUUGGUUUCACAACCUAGGAGAGUAUGGCGUCUAGCGAGGGAAAUUACCACCGUAGAGGUCCUUACUUUGAUGGUACAAAUUUUGCUAGUUGGAAGCAUAAGAUGAAAAUGCAUAUUCUUGGACAUAACCCCGCCGUUUGGGCUAUUGUGUGUAUUGGCUUGCAAGGUGAAUUCUUUGAUGGGAAAGAACCUAACCGUGAAGCUACCGCGCAAGAGUUGAAGAUGCUACAAUACAAUGCUCAAGCUUGUGAUAUUCUCUUCAAUGGAUUGUGCCCCGAAGAAUUCAACAAAAUCAGCCGUCUUGAGAAUGCAAAGGAAAUUUGGGAUACUUUGAUUGAUAUGCACGAAGGUACCGACUCCGUCAAGGAAUCCAAAUUGGAUGUGCUUCAAAGUCAACUUGACAAGUUCAAAAUGAAGGAUGGUGAAGGUGUCGCUGAAAUGUACUCUAGGCUUGCUCUCAUCACAAAUGAGAUUGUCGGCUUAGGAAGUGAAGAGAUGACUGACAAAUUCAUCAUCAAGAAGAUCCUAAGAGCCUUGGAUGGGAAAUAUGAUACCGUGUGCACAUUGAUCCAAAUGAUGCCCAAUUACAAAGAUCUAAAGCCAACAGAAGUCAUUGGAAGAAUUGUUGCUCAUGAGAUGUCACUUAAGGAUAAGGAAGAGCUUCACAACAAGUCAAGUGGUGCUUACAAAGCCUCGUGUGAUGCUCCCACAUCAUCAAGUGAGAAGCAAACCUUCAAUGAAGAAUUGAGCCUAAUGGUAAAGAACUUCAACAAGUUCUACAAGAGUAGAAGCAAAGAAAGAAGUUCCAAGUCAAGGUCCUACAAUGACAAAAGAUCUUCUAGUCGUGAGCGAAAUUGCUACAAUUGUGGAAGACCCGGACACUACUCCAAUGAGUGCACAGCUCCCUACAAAAGAAGAGAGGAUUCUCCCAAAAGAAGAAGUAGAAGAGAAGAAUCACCACCAAGAGAAAGGAGGAGUAGAGAUGAUCGUUAUGAACGAAAACCCUCUCGGAGAAGCAAGGAUUCAGAAAGGAAAGAAAAGUCAUCAAGGAGCUACACAAAAAGAAGACAUCAAGCUCAUGUUGGUUAAUGGGUAUCUGGCUCCGACUCCGACAAUCACUCCGAAAGAAGUUAUCACUCCGACUCCGAAUAUACUCAAGAUGAAGGUUUGCCGGUCUAGCACUUGUGUCAACCAACUCCUACGACCUAUUUGACUCACCAAAUGAAGGAAUUGGAAGAUGCUUCAUGGCCAAAGGUCCAAAGGUAACACAUCCUGAGUAUGUUGAUUUCAAUAGUGAUGAAGAUGAUUUGCUAGGUGAUGAUGAUUUACUUGUUGACAACUCUAGUGAUGAAGACUAUGAUGAAACGUUAAUUAAUCAUGCUAAUCAAGAUAAAACGAAUGAUGAUGAUAAGAAGGAGAUAACUCAAGAACUAAACACUCUUAAGUUAGCUCAUGAAACUACCUUGGAAAAUCAUUGAGAACUUUUAAAGACUCAUGAUAAGCUAUGCUUUGAAAAGCUCAAUCUUGAGCAAGAGCAUGAGUUUUUAAAGGCAAUCAAUGAUGAUCUUCGCAAUAAAAGUUCUUCUUACAUUGCCAAGCGUUUACUCUUGUCUACUUACAUGCCACAAGUUAAAUCUAGUAACAAGAACAAGAAAGAUGCUUCAUCUAGUAGUAACAACAAUCAUGCUAAAUCCAAUGUUGUUGCUUCUAGUAAUUCUCUUGAUUCCACUAAUGAUUCUCUUAUCCAAGUUACACUUGAGCAAGAAAAUAGCUUAUUGAAGGGAAUUAUAGAAAAAGGUGUUUACAAGAGCCUUGCCGGAAGUAAGCAAUUUGAGGAAAUUGAGCGCAAGCAAGGAAGACACCGGAAGAAUCAAGGUGUUGGUUUUGAACGAAAGUUCAAUGCCAAUGGAGUUGAGUGGGAAGAAGAUCAAUACCCCAAGACGAAGUUUGUUACUCAACAAGAGAAGUAUGAUCCUACUUCUUUCAAAGGGACACAAGCUCAAGAUGAUCUUCCACCACAAGACCACAAGAAAAAAGGCAAGGACAAGCUUCAAGAGGAAAUUGAUGCAUUUGAAGAAGCACCUAAGGCCUUGGUCAAGUGGGUUCCCAAGACUACAUCAAGUACAACUACAACUGCAAGGAUUCCCAUCAAGAUGGUGUAGAUCCAGAAGAAGAAGAACUAGAGAGUUCUUGAGGGUGACUCCGCCAACAUACUUCACUCUUAUCAUUUUGGCAAGGACAAGUGCAAACAACUUCCAUAUCUUGCACUAGUUCAAGGAGUCACAAACCCUCUUGUUGGUAAGACAAGGGACAAGGUAACCUAAUGCUUUCGUGGACAUCAUCGUGUGUAUGCAUCACUCUAUGUCUAUGGAUAUCCUUGUUUGUUCCUUGUGGGACUAACCCGUGUAGGUGUUGAAAGUGCAACUCACUCCAAAGGAUUGCUCCAAAUGAUCUACAUCAACAUUGAGCAUCUACAUCUUCAACACCUACAUGAAGUCAUCAUCGACAAAACCCAAGGUUAGUUCAUCCCUCUUAGGGGGGAUAUCACAUCUAGGGGGAGCUUUACUCUAAUCAAUUGAGUUAAAGCAACUCUAAUGGUGUGAACACAUCAAUGCUUUAUGUAAAAGUGGUAACCCCACUUGUGCUUAAACGAUGAGUAUGACCUAUGAUCAAAUGUUCCCAUUUGACUCCUAAGUCAAUAUACUCAUAUAUAGAUGACCUAGUCAUCGCCAAAUUGCUUGAUAGAUGCUAGAGUGUUUGUGCAUGCUUUGUCACAUAUUUCAUUUGCAAUUUUAUUGUGUGAGCAUGUUGGUUGCAUAUUUUACUCAUUCGAGGACAUCCAUUUGUUGUUUUGAUUGUUUGGAUCUUUCUCUUUUGCCAAAUGGAUGGACAAGAAUGCCUAAGAACUCCCUCUAGCUAUCUAUGCUUUUCUCGUCUCAAACUCUAUUCAUGCUACAUCACAAAGUUUGAUCAAGUCAGAUUCGAACCACUCUGUGUGAGGAGCACUCGGAGUUCCCGAUUCAUCAUAGACUUAAACCUCCAAAACCUCUUUGUGCAUCUCGGUCUGACCGAUUCAUCCUUUUCGGUCCUACCGAGUCACUAAGUUGAUCUAGGAUUUUCAAUCUCGGUGCAACCGAUUAGAACUUUUCGGUCACACCGAGUUGCAGUAACUGCUUGCAGUUUUGCAUCUCGGUGCCACCGAGUCGUUCCACUCGGUCACACCGACAGGGUCAAGUUAUAUAUACCGACGGGCCAAAUUUUGGAAAUUUUUCUGAACCUCCUCGCCCGCGCGUAACCUACUCUGCCUCUUCGGGUCUCCGGAUCGUCCUCUCAUCGCCAGCGACCUCCCGCCGCUGGUCUCCACUGCCGUCAAUGGAAAUCUUCACCGCCGUUGCCGCCGUAGCAAGUUCGUCGCCGAACUAGGGUACGAACUUGAUCUUUGUGCUAAUCCUUAACUCCGAUUCUUAGCACAUUGCUUUGCCAUGAUUCUUGCCAUGAUUGAAAUCAUCUUGUCCAGCGAAAACAUCCCGUAGAUUAGUUUUGAUUUGAAAAUUUAGGGUUAGGUCUCCGCCGAAUUCAUCUCGGACCGACCGAGUUGUAGAAAUCGGUCUCACCAAUUUUGGCUUAGGCCAAAGCACAUGCGUUUUCGGUCUGAGCAAAAACUGCAAAUCGGUGUGACCGAGUUCGGUUCUCUGUGAAACCCUAGCAGUCUCGGUACCACCAAACUGUGACUCGGUCUGACCGAGUUCACUAGUUUAGGUUCCAAAAGCUGCUUCGGUAUCACUGAGUUUACAAAUCGGUAGAUCCGAAAUGCUUUCUGUGAAGAACUAAAACUAAGUUUUUAAGUCAUCCUUUUUGCAAAACUCCUGUACUUUGUGAUGCUCAUCUACUCUACCUCAUCUAUAACCUAUUCACAGGGUCUGCUGUCAGAGUAUUUGCAGAGAUGUCUGACCAAAGUGACAGCCAGAACAAGUCAGAAGAGCAGGUUCAGUUGAGUGAGGGCACUAGUCCCUCAGGCAGCUAUGAUGAAGGCAGCAGGAGCACUCCUAGCAAUUUGCCAAAGGCUGCCACCAGGACAAGGAAGAAGAGGAAUUCUGACUCUGAGGAUGAAGAUUAUGUGGCUGUUGAGGAUGAAGCCACUUCAAGGAAAAAGGUGCUGAAGAAGGAGUAUGGCACAACUGCUGCAACAAAGCCUGGACUGAAAACAAAGGCUCUAGCAAGAAGAGUUCCAAUGUCAAAAGCCAGAGCCUCCACUCAAGAAACAAUGGAGUGCACUCUUGAACCCAAGGAAACUGGAGAUGGCAAGAAGAGAAAAGAAAGGGUCAGGAAGACCAUUGCCAGAGUUAUUGGGAAGCCAUCAAUGAUGAGAGAUUCAGAAGAAGAAGAAGAGGAAGAGGAUGUUGCACCAGCACCCAAAGCACAAAAGCUUAUGGGAGAUGCAAUUAAAUCAGGGGCUGCUCCAUCAAAGCCCAAAGCUGCUCCCAAGGCUGCUGCUCCAGCUCCAAAGCCAAAACCCAAGAGAAGCACUAGGAACAUAUAUGCUGAAGAGAAGAACAAGGCCCCAGUGCUUCAAGCUGCUGAAGAAGAAGAAGAAGAUGAUUCUGUUGUUUUGAGAAAGCUGAAGCCCAAGAUCCCUGACCACACUGAUGCACACCCAGUUGUAGAGAAUAUGAAAAUUAGGAAGGAUGCAGGAUUGAGACUAUGGAGAGAGUCUGAUCCCUAUGCUAUCAGGAGAAGGACUGCUGUGGACUACAAAUUCCACACUAAGGAACAACGGGACUUCUAUGAGACUAUUCUGCUUGACAAGAAGCCCAUUGUGUGUGACAUGAGAUGGGUUGACUGGGAGUUCAUCAAGGAGAAUGAAGAUCACUUCCCUGGUGUGCUUGAUAGCUUCAAGGCAUGUGGAGUGGACACUUUUGUUGCCCAAAAGCUCACCAAGUGGAAUGAUGAGCUCAUCAUGCAAUUCUACUCUACUGCACACUUCUAUCCUGAUGGAAGGAUUGUAUGGAUGUCUGAGGGUACUAGGUACCAAUCUAUAGUUGAUGAGUGGGCCAAGCUUAUAAAUGCUCCUGAGGAACAUGAGGAUGACUUGGACAUUUAUGCAGAGAAGAAGAAAGGCCACAACAGUAUGGCCAACAUGUACAAAGAGAUCCGAGAUGCUGCUUUGGAUACACACAAGUUUGGAUCUGUACACUAUCUGUUGUCUGGUCUGCCAACUAUUAACUGGAUCUUAAGGCACACACUGCUACCCAAGUCAGGUGGUCAUAAAAUGAUCAGAGGACAUGCUAUAAACUUGCUGCACAUAUUUGAUGUCCCACAGAAGUUCAAAGUCAUGAGCCUGAUUGUUGAAACAAUCAAGAGGACUGCAGGUGAUCAAAAAAGAAGUUGUGGGUAUGCCCCACACAUUCAGGAGCUCAUCAACUCAAAGAUGGGAAAAGGCAAGUACAUCUUGGAUAAGGAGCACCUGCCCAUCUAUCCUGAAUUUGAAGACAACACUGUUGUGAUGAAUGAGAAUGAACCAUCUUCAGCUCAAGCACAUGAAAAGAGAGAGAAGGCUAAGGCAGAGAAGGCUGCAAAGAUGCCAACAGCAGAGGAGGCAUCUCAGGUAUUCUUGAAGAGCAAGCAAGAUCAGCUUGGAUAUCUGAUCCAAUCCACCCUGAGGAUUGAGAAGGGCUUGGCCACCCUGACCAAGAACCAGGAGAGUCUGGAGAGGAUCAUUGAGCAGAAAUUCUAUGACCUUGAUGUCAAGGUAACAGAAAUCCAAACUGCAGUUGAGCAACUUCAGGAGGAAGUAGAGGAGAAGAAGGGCAAGUCUACCACAGAUGCUUUUGCCAGAGUGCCCAGAGGACAGAGAUCUGCUGCAGUGCCAGUGACAAACACUAGAGCCACAGCAUCAGCACCAGCAGCUACAACUCCAGUUCCACCUCCAGCAGCUACUCCACCAGCUCCAGCUACUUCAUCAGAAGCCUUCGUCCUUGGAGUUCUCUCAACACCUCCUACCGAAGAUCAAGCCUGAGAGUCGUUUAGCACUAUGCAUUUUCGAUCUUUUUGGUAACUUGUUGCCAAAGGGGGAGAAAAAUGUAUAGAUCAUAGGCUUCGAGAGAGAGAGAGAGAGUGUUGGUUUUUAUCUCUCUUUGCACUUAUUUGGUUUGGUUUGAAACUUUAUUGUGCUUGUGUGAGAUACUUGUUUGAUCAUGUGUUUGAUCAUAUGCUACCCUUAAUGCUUGUUGGAUGAUAUUAUCUUUAUAUCCUCUUAUGAUCAUUCACUUUGCUUGGUGAUGAGUGCAUGUGUUUUAAUUUCUAUCAUUUUGAGCGCUCCACCAAGAUGUAUGUGACAUGGAAGAGUAACCCAUGAUCCUAAUCGAUUGUGCAUUUGCAUUCAAAAGCAAAUUUAAAUAAUGCACAAAUUUAGGGGGAGCUCUUACUUAUCACAUACUUCUCAAAGCGACGAUGUUUUUCAAUCUUAUCAUUUGUCGAAGCUUUGAUCUAUAUGUUGUCAUCAAUUACCAAAAAGGGGGAGAUUGUAAGUGCAACUAUCCCUGGGUGGUUUUGGUAAUUCCUAACAACAUAUAGCUCAUUGAGCUAAUGCUACUUCAAGAUAAAUAUUUUAGGAAAGCUCAAUGAUUGGCAUGGCAUGGAUUAGGAAGUGGACCCUUCAAAAUGCUAAGGACAAAAGAUUGGCUCAAGCUCAAAAGCACAAGACUCUACACUUUCUAUUUUAGUGAUCCAAGAUCACAUUGAGUCUAUAGGAAAAGCCAAUACUAUUAAGAAGGGAUGAGGUGUUGCUUAAUGAGGUGCUUGCUCAAAAUGCUUAGUGAUAUGCUCCAAAACCCUCCACUACUUUCUCAUAUCCACAUAUGUCCCAAACCACAAGUCCAACUCGGCCCCACCGAUUCUUUCUAUCCGGCGCCACCGAGUUCAGUUGACAUAGCCACUGCCAAAAACCCUUGUCUUUUCGGUCUCACCGAUAGGGAUCUCGGUCUCACCGAGAUGGGAUUGUAAUCUCUCUAUUUCCUCUUCGUAAUGUUUCGGUCCAACCGAGAUGAGCGAUCGUUCCCACCGAGAUUGCAAUGCAAACACUCUAUUUCCUUUUCAUAAUGUUUCGGUCCCACCGAGAUGAGCGAAUCGGUCCCACCGAGUUUGCCUGACCAACUCUCUGUUUGACUAUUACCAAAAUCGGUCGCACCGAGUUUGUGUAAUCGGUCACACCGAGAUUACGUUAUGCCCUAACCCUAAUGAUAUCGGUUCCACCGAGUUGACAUGUCGAUCCCACCGAAACACCUAACGGACACAUUAUGAACCAAAUCGGUCUGACCGAGUUCUCUGAAUCAGUCCCACCGAGUUUGGUGAUUUGUGUGUAACGGUUAGAUUUUGUGUGGAGGCUAUAAAUACCCCUCCACCCACUCUUCAUUCGUGGAGAGAGCCAUCAGAACAUGCCUACACUUCCAAUACAUAUUUUCUGAGAGAGAACCACCUACACUUGUGUUGAGGUCAAGAUAUUCCAUUCCAACCACAUAAAUCUUGAUCUCUAGCCUUCCCCAAGUUGCUUUCCACUCAAAUCUUCUUUCCACCAAAUCCAAUCCUAUGAGAGAGAGUUGGGUGUUGGGGAGACUAUCAUUUGAAGCACAAGAGCAAGGAGUUCAUCAUCAACACACCAUUUGUUACUUCUUGGAGAGUGGUGUCUCCUAGAUUGGCUAGGUGUCACUUGGGAGCCUCCGACAAGAUUGCUGAGUUGAACCAAGGAGUUUGUAAGGGCAAGGAGAUCGCCUACUUCGUGAAGAUCUACCCUAGUGAGGCAAGUCCUUCGUGGGCGACGGCCAUGGUGGGAUAGACAAGGUUGCUUCUUCGUGGACCCUUCGUGGGUGGAGCCCUCCGUGGACUCGCGCAACCGUUACCCUUCGUGGGUUGAAGUCUCCAUCAACGUGGAUGUACGAUAGCACCACCUAUCGGAACCACGGAUAAAAAAUCUCCGUGUCAACAUUGCGUUUGCUCCCUCAAACUCAUCCCUUUACCUUCAUAUGCAAUUGUUUUACAUUCCGCUGCUAUACUCUUAGAAUUGCAUGUGUAGGUUGAUUGCUUGACUUGUGCUAAGUUGUUAAAAUCUGCCAAGAACUAAAAUUGGGAAAAGGCUAGAUUUUUAUUUGGUCAAGUAGUCUAAUCACCCCCCUCUAGACAUACUUUCGAUCCUACAACUUGCCUGACGACAAGCUGUGAAUCACCCCUGACGAUGAGCUUCUUAACCCCGAGGUCUACUGCGAUCCUGAGACCGGCAAGCAACCCCUCGUAUUCAACAGUGUUGUUUGUGGACAUCUCCCUGGGAAAGUGCAUCUGGAUUACAUACUUGAGGUGCUCUCCGGUGGGUGCGAUGAGCAGCACACCAGCACCGGCGCCUUGCAGCGAGAAAGCCCCGUCAAAGUACAUGAUCCAGUUGCGACUUGCUUCCUUGCUGGGGAGAGUGGUCUCCUGGAUUUCUUCAUCGGGCAUUGAAGUCCAUUCCGCAAUGAACUCUGCCAAGACUCUGCUCUGGAUCGUCGAAGUACUUUCAAACUUCAAACCAAAGCUCGAUAGCUCCAAGGCCCACUCCACAAUCCUCCCGGUUGCGUCUGGGUUAUGCAAUAUCCGUUGCAACGGGAGGCAGGUGACGACGGUGAUUUCGUGGGCUUGGAAGUAAUGACGCAGCUUCCUCGAGGCCAUAAGGAGGCCGAAGAGCAAUUUCUGCACACCGGAGUACCUUGACCUAGCCCCCUGCAAGAGGGAGCUGACGAAGUAAACCGGGUGCUGCAUCAUUUUCUUCUUCUGCACCACUUCAUUUGGUUGCGUAGGCCCCAUCCUGAUGGCAUCAGGCUCUGCCGGGGGCCUUGCCUUGCCGGUACCAGGCCCUGCCGGGGGGGCCUGGCUCGCCAUCCGCCAGUCCUGUCGUUGCCACUGCCUCUUCAUCGACCUCCCUCUGUGCCACUAGCGCGGCGUUGACCACUUGAUUCGUUGCCGCUAGGUACAGCAGCAAUGGCUCUUGUGGUUUAGGCGCAACUAGUAUCAGCAUAUAGGAGAGGUAUCUCUUGAAAUCCUGUAGUGCUGCUUUGGCCUCUGGGGUCCAUUCCAUUGGUCCCGCCUAUUUCAAGAUUUUGAAAAAGGGAAGGGCGCGCUCGGCAGACUUGGAGAUGAAUCUGCUCAUGGCGGCAACGCAGCCAGUGAGCGGACGCACAUCCUUGAUCCGCUUGGGCGCCUCAAUUUGCUCGAUAGCCUUGAUCUUGUCUGGGUUUGCCUCGAUCCCACGCUGUGACACAAAGAACCCAAGAAGUUUGCCGGGCGGAACGCCGAAGACACACUUCUCAGGGUUCAACUUGAGGUUGAUCUUGCGCAGGUUUGCAAACGUCUCUUCUAAGUCUUGUACAAGUGUUGCCCUGUCCUUGGUUUUGACCACUAUGUCAUCCAUAUAUGCUUCCAUAUUUCUAUGUAGCUGGGGCUCAACACCAAUUUGGACAGCUCUUGCAAACGUUGAGCCAGCACUCUUCAACCCGAAAGGCAUCCGUAAAAAGCAAUACGUACCACAUGGGGUGAUGAAUGCUGUCUUUUCUUCGUCUUCUCUUGUCAUGAAGAUCUGGUGGUAUCCUGAGUAGGCGUCAAGGAAUGAUAACAGAUCACACCCGGCCGUGGAGUCAACAAUCUGGUCGAUGCGCGGCAACAGGAAAGGGUCCUUGGGACAAGCCUUAUUGAUAUCUGUGUAGUCAAUACACAGCCUCCACUUCCCAUUUGCCUUGCGCACCACCACCGGAUUGGCCAACCACGUCGGAUGGAGUACUCCUCUCACCAAGCCUGCCGCUUCCAACUUCCUGAUCUCCUCUGUGAUGAACUCUUGCCUUUCCAAAGCCUGCUUCCUGACCUUCUGCUUGACGGGCCGCACAUGAGGAAAGACAGCAAGGUGGUGCUCAAUCACCUCCCUGGGAACGCCGGGGAUGUCGGAUGCUUGCCACGCAAACACAUCGACAUUCGCCCGCAGGAAGGUGACGAGCGCGCCUUCCUAUUUGCUGUCGAGGGUGGAGCUUAUGGUGAAAGCCCCUCCCGUGCCAUCCUCCUUGACGGACACCUUCUUGGUCUCUGGCGGGUGCAGCUUGGAUUUCUUGCUCUUGCCGGUGGAGCUCUCUGGCACGUCCUCGACGGUAGCACAACACUCCGAAGAAGUGUGCUUGCCGGAGUGGGUGCGAGAGGUCUUGCCGGUCUUCUUCUUCCCUCCCGGAGCUUCAGCGGCAGGAGCAAGUGCCUUGGCGGCAGUCGCUGCAACUGCUCCCCGAUAGAGUAGGUCGGCACAGAUCAGCGCAUCCUUCUUGUCGCAGGGGACGGUGAUGAUAGUCAUCGGCCCAGGCAUCUUCAGCGUGUUGUAGGCGUAAUGCGAUGCCGCCAUGAACUUGGCUAGUGCCGGGCGGCCGAGGAUCCCAUUGUAGGGCAAGGGGAUCUCGGUUACAUCGAAGACAAUCCUCUCCGUCCUGUAGUUCAAGUCGCGUCCAAACGUCACAGGCAGCGUGACCUUACCCUUCGGCUAGCUCCUUCCCGGGUUGACCCCUUGAAACGUGCCCGUCUCCUCGAAGUCUCCAUCGGGAAUUUGUAGCCUUUUGAUCACAACGGGUGAGAUCAAGUUCAAACCGGCCUCGCCGUCAACCAGCAUCUUGGUCACGUUGAGGUUGCGUAUCGUUGGUGAAACCAACAACGGCAAACACCCGACCGCAGUUGUGCGAUCAGGGUGGUCCUCGGUGUCAAAGAUGAUAGGCGUGCUGGACCACUUCCACGGCUUCUGAGCGUCAAACAACGGCUCCGCUGCUGUGAUCUCACGCGCCCACUGCUUGAGCUGGCGGUGAGAAGUAUGCAGCGAGGCGCGACCAUCGACGCACAUGGCCUCCGUAGCCUUCUGGAACUCAUGCUCGCCGGACUCGUCGUCCUCGUCAUGAUCGUCGUCUUCCUGCUUCUUGUCGCGGCCCCGAGCGGGCCUCUCUUGCUGGUUAUCCUUGCCGCGGCGGCCUCCUUGGCCGCCACGCUUCUUGCCGGAUCCUUCGGCACCAUCCUGACCUUUCUCCUUGUCCCACCUCUCAUACUCGGCCUUUUGCUUUUCAACAAGCAGCUCAACUUGUCGGCAGUUCUGGAGGUCGUGGCCCUUGGUGCAGUGGAUCUUGCAAUACUGCUUGUCGGAGCCCCCUGGCUUGUCGGCAGCCGCCAAGGCCCGGCAAGCGGCUCACCCGGCAAUCUCCUUGCCGGGGUCGUCUGCCUUGGCCUUCUUGGCGGCGCCGAUGUCGUUGGAUCCCUCGACGGCAACCACGGCCUUGCCCUUACGCUUCCUGUUGCGGCGCCGACCCUUUUUCGUCGGGGCGGCGGCGUCUUCGUCCAUAGAGUCGGUUUCGGCACCGGCGUCCUCGUCGGGGUACUUCCUUCCCUCUUCAGCUCGGGUGCAUCUAUCGGCCAGAACAUAAAGUUCGGCCACAUCGGUUGCGCACGUUCUGAUGGAACGUGCUGAUCACGGCGGCGGGAUGAACAUCUGGGAUGUUGUAUUGCACCCGGCUGAACCUCUGUAUGUACUUGCGCAGGUUUCUUAUCAGUGAGGAGUUCAUAGGCAGUCUUCUUGAAGAAUUUGUGAAGAUAUACUCUGUUGAUGAUGUGGCACGCAGUAUCAAUUGCAUCAAUCCAGAAACGACGAGGCGUUUUGUAUUCAUCAAGCAUAGUGCGAGCCAUCUCAGCAAGAGUCCUGUUCUUGCGCUCCACGACGCCAUUCUGCUGAGGAGUAUAAGGAGCAGAUAACUCAUGAGUAAUACCAAGUUCAUCAAGAUAGUCAUCAAGACCAGAAUUCUUGAACUCAGUUCCAUUGUCACUUCUGAUGUGCUUGAUCUUCACACCAAAGUUGGUUGAAGCCCUCGAGGAAAAUCGUUUGAAGACUUCCUGCACUUCAUGUUUGUAAGUAACAAUGUGUACCCAUGUGUAUCGAGAGUAAUCAUCAACAAUAACAAAGCCAUAUUGAGAUGCAUCAUUUGAAACUGCAGAAUAAUGGUUAGGACCGAAGAGAUCCAUGUGAAGCAAUUCAAAUGGGCGAGUGGUAGUCAUGAUUGUCUUCGCUGGAUGCUUAGCCUUGGUCAUCUUUCCAGCUUCGCAGGCUCCGCACAAAUGAUCCUUGAGGAAGUUGACAUUCUCAUUGCCAAUGACAUGCUUCUUCUUCGCGAGCGUGUGCAAAUUCCUCAUCUCGGCAUGACCAAGUCGUCGAUGCCAUAGCCAGCCUUCUGAAACUUUUGCAAGUAGACAUACAGCUGGUUGAGGUCCUGUGGAGAAAUCAACAAUAUACAAAUCUCCUCUCCUGAAGACUUUGAAGACUUUGGAAUUGUCAACUUCCAUGAUCACAACACAACGAUACUUGCCAAAGACAACAACCAUAUCAAGAUCACAAAGCAUUGAGACAGACAUGAGGUUGUAUCCUAAGGACUCGACAAGCAUGACUUUGUCCAUGUGUCGAUCCUUUGAGAUCGCAACCUUACCUAGACCCAAUACCUGACUUUUGCCUUUGUCAGCGAAGAUCAUAUGCUUCAGAUGAGAUGGAGAUAAGGGGGCAUCCAUAAAUAGAUUCUUGUCACCAGUCAUGUGAUUUGUACAUCCACUAUCGAGGACCCACUCAGUGGCUUUGGGUUGAUCAUCCUGCAGAUGAAUUAGUGCAGCUUACGAACUCAUAUACUUCAUCAGUGAAGAAUAUGACAUCAAUUCAUCAGAUCAAUUUCAUCAAGCGAUGCAACAGAUAAAGCAGCAUGAGGACGUGAGAAAUGAAAUUUCAUUUCUUCAUGAUUAGCCUGCGUCCUUUCAGUCACUCUCAGGUCUCCAGCAAAUUCUUCAGACGUUUGAGCACGUCUGGAGACCUGACCCUGCAUAAGAGAUUAGUUCUUUUUCUUCACCACCCACAUCUGAAGGGGUGGCAAAGAGUUCAUCACUCUGCGUGCUCCAUAUGAGAAACGUGGCAUAGAAGCCAGUCCAUUUCGUUUCACAUAAGAGGAGUUAGGGUAAGCAUAUGAAUAAGCAGAGAAAUUCUUCGAGGACUUAUGAACAUAAUGGUUAGAAGAAUAAUGCUCAUAUUCAUAGCCCUUGACUCUUCCUGCGAAACAGAGUUGUUAGCACGAUGAUAUUCAUAUGAGGACUUUGAUCCUUUUGAGGAAUUUGAUCCACAUGAGGAAUUUGGUCCGUAUGAGGACUUGGGUCCAUAUGAAGGAUUUGGUUCAAAUGAAGAAUUUGAUCUGGGGUUCCUAUUCUUCACAGGUGGUGUCAUGAGGACAUUCACCUGAAGACUUUCAAGGCACCUUUUGGGAACCCAGAUUUUCUUCAUAGGGGAACCGUUCCUGCAGUUAGUGCCAACAUAUCUAGCAAAUACUUCACCAUUCUGAUUUUUGAACAGUUUAUAGUUGGAGUCAAAUGACUCAUCAGAAGAAUGAGGAGAUUCACAUGUAAUGCCAGAUAAAUUGGAUGGAUGAACUGGAGGUCCCUUUGCAGCAACCCAUGAGGUUUUGGGGUACUGCUCAGGCUUCCAAUAUGUACCAUCAGCAUUGAGUUUCCUCUCAAAGGCAAUACCCUCUUUCCUAGGGUUCCUGUUGAGGAUCUGCUUUUUAAGCACAUCACAAAGAGUCUGAUGCCCUUUGAGGCUUUUGUACAUGCCUGUCAUGUACAAUUCCUUCAGCCCUGCAUCAUCAGUGAUACUAGCAAUGUCCUCAAAUGAGGAAUUAGUGAUAGCAGAGACAGUUGAAGAAUUUGUAGCAUUUGAAGCAUUUGAACAUUCAGGUGAAGAAUUAGCAGAUUCAAGUUCAAUGCAUUUAAAACAUGGAGGAACAAAUUCUUCCUGAGAAGCGCUGAUUUGUUGAGCAAGUAAUGAAUCGCGCUCCUUCUGAAGAUCUUCAUAACUCACUCUUAGCUUCUCAAGAUCUUGCUUUCUUUGAAGAAAUUCAUAAGAAAGCUUCUCAUGAUCAGAUAAGAGAGUGUUAUGAUGACCUUGAAGGUUGUCAAACCUAGUCUGAAGUCUCUGAAGAUUUUCAGUCAAGGUUUUAGUGCGAUCCAUUUCUUCACCCAACAUAUCGUCACUUUUGUCUAGCAUGUUUUGAACCUUUUCAAAAGCCCUUUGUUGUUUCACAGCAAUCUUAGCAAGUUUAGAGUAGUUGGGCUUGAGGUUUUCAUCAGAUUCAGUCUCACUUGAUUCAGAGGAGGUAUAUUUGAGUACCUUGGCACCCUUUGCCAUGAAGCAAUAGGUGGGAGCGUAGUCAUCAUUGCCUUCAUCAGCCUUGUUGAUGAGGUCAUUUUCUUCAGAGUUGAAGAUAGACUUGCUGACGAAUGCAGUAGCGAGAGCUAGGCUCGCCACACCGGAUUCGGACUCCUCAGACGCCUCCUCUUCCUCAUUUUAUCCAGAUUCAGCCUCAGAAUCCAUUUCCUUGCCAAUGAAUGCUCAAGCCUUCUUGGAGCUGCUCUUCUUGUGAGAUGAAGACUUUGAGGAUUUUGAUGAUGAAUACUUUGAGGAUUUCUUCUUUUUCUUCGCAUCAUCAGAACUGUAAUCCUUGUAUUUCUUCUUCUUUGAUUCCCUUUCCCACUGAGGACAAUCUUGAAUGUAGUGUCCAGGUUUCUUGCAUUUGUGACAAAGCCUCUUCUUGUAGUCACUGGAUGAGGAAUCAUUGCUCCUUGAGGGUUUUCCAAAGCGGCCACGUCUUGAGAACUUCUGGAAUUUCUUCAUGAGCAAUGCUAGUUCAUGGCUCAGUUCUUCAUGAUCACCAAGGCUGCUGCCAGAGUCUUCAUCUUCAGACUCAUAAACGGCAUUGGCCUUCAGUGCACGUGAUCUGCCAUAGCUCGAACCAUAGAGAUCUCUCUUCUCAGCAAGCUGGAACUCAUGAGUAUUUAGCCUCUCGAGGAUAUCAGUGGGAUCAAGUGACUUGUAAUCAGCACGCUCUUGUAUCAUUAAUGCCAGAGUAUCAAAUGAGGAAUCAACCGAUCUCAGCAAUUUCUUCACCACCUCAUGGUCGGUGAUGUCAGUAGCACCAAGUGCUUGAAGCUCAUUUGAGAUGUCAGUGAGGCGAUCGAAGGUUUGUUGAACAUUUUCAUUGUCGAGUCUUUUGAAGCGGUUGAAGAGAUUGUGAAGAACAUCAACUCGAGAGUCACGCUGUGUUGAGACUCCUUCAUUGACUUUGGAUAGCCUAUCCCAGAUAAGCUUAGCAGUUUCCAAAGCACUCACUCUUCCAUAUUGUCCUUUGCUCAGAUGGCCACAUAUGAUAUUCUUCGCUUGAGAAUCGAGUUGCUUGAAUCUCUUCACAUCAGCAGCAUUCAGAGAAGGUGUGACUAAGGGAACACCAUUUUCCACAACAUAUCAGAGAUCAUUAUCAAUUGCCUCAAGAUGCAUUCGCAUCUUAUUCUUCCAGUAGGGGUAGUCCAUCCCAUCGAAGGUAGGACACCCAGCAGAGACCUUGAUCAUACCUGCGGUCGACAUAACUAAAACUCUAGGCGGUUAAACCAAAAUCACACAGAACAAGGGAGUACCUUGCUCUGAUACCAAUUGAAAGUGCGUUAUAUCACUAGAGGGGGGUGAAUAGGCGAUUUUUAUGAAUUCUUCACUGAGGAAUUUGCCGGUGAGGAAAUUCCUUAGCGAAGAACUACUAGCAGCGGAAUAAGUACUCAAAAGUAACCAUAACAGAACACAAGCAUGGUCAUCAUGAUGAAAUGAAGACAAGCACAGAGUAUAGAAAGUGUAAUCACAGGAUAACACAGGAUGAAGACAAACUGACUAAAGAAAUUGAACUGAGGAAAUUGAGAAAGUCUUCAGUCAAAGUCUUCAAACACAGAUAUGAACAAGCGCACAACACAGUAAUGAGGAAAUGAAAGAGUUGAGGAAAUAGAACCAGUUAGCUUGGUGAAGACAAUGAUUUGGUAGACCAGUUCCAACUGCUGUCUCAGUUGUACAUCUGGUUGGAGCGGCUAGGUAUUUAAACCUGAGAACACACAGUCCUCACCGUAUUCUCCUUGAGCUAAGGUCACACAGACCUCGCCCAAUCACUCGUGGUAAGUCUUCAGGUGACUUCCGAACCUUCACAAACUCGGUCACUCGGUGAUCCACAAUUCCUCUUGGAUGCUCUAGAGCAUGAUGCCUAACCGUAUGGAAGAAGCACAGUCUUCAAAGGUAACAAGCGUCGGAUCCACGCAGGAUCAAUCUCUUCAGUGAUGCUCAAUCACUUUGGGUUUGUAGGUGUUUGGGUUUGGGUUUUCCUCACUUGAGGAUUUUCGCUCAAAGUCCUCGGAGGAUGGGAUGCUCUCAAAUGACAAGUGUCAGUUUCUCUCGGAGCAGCCAACCAGCUAGUGGUUUUAGGGGGCGGCUAUUUAUAGCCUAGGGAGCAGCCCGACAUGAUAAGACAUAAAUUCCCUUCAAUGAUAUGACCGUUAGGUGGAUAAGAUAUUUUGGGACAGCUGGCGCGUAGCACAGCAACGGUUGGAAAUUUGAGGCUCAAAUUCCUCAGGGCUAUCAUGUUCCUCACUGUGUAGGCAAUCCGCACUGGCGAAUUCCUAACUCCUCAGUCAGAACAAAUUCCUCAGCGGCCAGAAGAACUUCGUCUCUGUCACUGAAGAAAUUGACUGAACUGUAUGAGAUUUCCAUUGGCUUCACUCGAAGGGAUUGGUAGGUGUGGGAUUUUGAGUUGAGCAUCACAUGGAAAUUUUUCCUUAGUAUUUCCUCGACCCCCUUUAACAGUACGGUGUUUCCUAUGACUCAAGAAAGAGAAAAUGAAACUACGAAAACAAAAGUCUUCACGCUUCAUGUUCCUCGAAUGAAUACUAAGUCUUGAAGGUCACACCAAUUUCUUCACUUUCAAAGUCUUCAGAAAGUCUUCAGAAAUCCAAAGUCUUCAAUCGAAGAACUUCAUUUUUAGGGGUCGACUUUCUCUGUAAAUAUCAAACUCCUCAUAGACUUAUAGACCUGUGUACACUCAUAAACACAUUAGUCCCUUAACCUAUAAGUCUUCAAUACACCAAAAUCACUAAGGGGCACUAGAUGCACUUACAGUUCGAGCGUCUUCAUGGGCUCGCUCCCGAAGAACUUGGUGCUGAUCGCGGUGGGUCCGUGGGUCGGACGACGCUAUGGAAAUGUUAUCACAAGCGUCAUCACGACGGACCGGCACCCGCGGCAACUGGCGUGGGGGAGGAGAGUGCAUCGUGGCUGCAGCACCUCCGGUCCUUCCACCGCUAGCAUGUGGUGGCUCGACGGAGCGUCGGCCCGAGGGCCCGGCUGGUCACGGUUCAUCUUUGUUGGUGACACCGACGAGGCUCCGGAUGGUGGCUCUCCAAUCGUCGAGCUUUUCCGCGGCAGGAGGGAAGUCGAGGAGCAGCUGCGCGCGUGCCAAAGCUUCUACUGGCGUGGGUGGCGACGAAAGCUGCGUGGACCAUGACGCGCUCUGACUUAUAACUACGUUAGAAGGAGCUCUAUCACGGCCUGGCGCCUGUGCGCCAUUUUCGCCAGCACUUCGGCGGGCAUGCUGGCCUCCUUCGUACCGCGACUGAUGCACAGGACUCUUCCCACGGCGGCGUCCGGGGUCACCAGCGUGGUGACGCUGCUCGUCGCGCACACCCUGGGAAGAGCGUGUUGUGGGNNNNNNNNNNNNNNNNNNNNNNNNNNNNNNNNNNNNNNNNNNNNNNNNNNNNNNNNNNNNNNNNNNNNNNNNNNNNNNNNNNNNNNNNNNNNNNNNNNNNNNNNNNNNNNNNNNNNNNNNNNNNNNNNNNNNNNNNNNNNNNNNNNNNNNNNNNNNNNNNNNNNNNNNNNNNNNNNNNNNNNNNNNNNNNNNNNNNNNNNNNNNNNNNNNNNNNNNNNNNNNNNNNNNNNNNNNNNNNNNNNNNNNNNNNNNNNNNNNNNNNNNNNNNNNNNNNNNNNNNNNNNNNNNNNNNNNNNNNNNNNNNNNNNNNNNNNNNNNNNNGGGCAGCUCCAUCCUUGGGUUCGGCGACGUGCGGCUCGUCGUCUUGCGCACGAACAACGCCGCUCGCCAGGCUCUGACUGCCAGAGCGAUGUUGGUGCUCACGGGCCGCGCCUCGGCUUCUGUCCAUGACUGGCCCGCUGCUCGCCCGCACCGGUACGGGCCGUCCGGCUCCGGAUGAACCGAUCAUCGUGAUCGUCUUCUUCUUGGGAGCCAUGGCGAUGAAGAACUGCUAGGCUAACGACUAGACUGGAUUUUCACAACCGCGCCCCCCCUACCUGGCACGCCAAAGAUGUCGGUGGAAACGACACCUAUAGGAUCACUGUGAUCCCUUCUACGGUUGGCGGGCGCGGGGUUGUGCAAAGAGCAGGUCCAGAAGCCAGCACAAGGAUCGUUUACCCAGGUUCGGGCCGCGAGGAUGCGUAAAACCCUAGUGCUGCUUUGGUGUAUUUAUUUGAGUGUUCUUGAGUUAUUGAACUAGCUACGGUGUGUCCCUAGUCCAAAAUAUCCGAAUCCUCCUCCUGGUCACCUCGGGCCUCCUUUUAUAGGCAAAAGGGGUUGCCACAGUGGCACACAGGAGGUUGAAAGGUGUAUAGUGGAUGAGUCUAUCCUCUGGCACCAUCGGACAAACGCAUUCAAUGCGCUGCCGACGUGUCCCUCUUGCUUUAUCGGGGACGGCAAGGAAGCUCGUCCCAGCUAUCGCCGCCUCGCCUGGCUGCGACGCGUGUCCGAGCUGACGAGGCGUUGUAGCGCCACGUUGGCUGGCUGCUGGGCUGGCGCGGUGGUGGAGUCUUCAUGAAGAUCUGCAUGCCACCACGGAGGUGCUAGCUGAGUCGGCGUAGAGGCCGCACGCUGCCAUGCAGGUGCCUGCCCAGCUGGUUGAGCUAGCAGCUGCAUGGGAGCGGCCGUGUAGUCUUGGCAGGCGUGGGCCUGGCCGCGGCCCCGUAAGUGUCCUCGGCAAGGGCCUUGUCGGGGCCCCGGCAAGGGUAUUGCCACGGCACCGUGGUCGUCCCCGGCAAGGGACUUGCCGGGGGCCUCGUGGAUCUCCUCGGCAAGGAUCUCGCCGAGGGUCGUCGCCUUCUGGUCCUUAUCUGAUCUUGUGUGUUUAUGAUCUUGACGAAGAUCUGCAUGCCACCACAGAGGCGCCCCCCGAGCCUUGGUUCCAAUGUGGUUGGUUGGUGGUGUUGGAACCCGUGGGCUCAAGGGUGGCACACUCUGUUGGCGUUGGGCAAGUUGCCCCGGCAAGGCUCUUGCCGAGGCUGUGGAGGCUGCCCCGGUAAGGAUCUUGCCGGGGGAGUCCACCUCGCCCUCUCGCUCUUUGUGUCUUUGGUCUUGGCGUUGCUCUGGUUGUCUUGUGCCUUCGGCUUCCCUCCUCUGCCCUACUUAGUGUGGCGUGGGCGUGGCUCCGACUGCCCGUGCACAAGUAAAGGGGUAAAAAGGAGCGCCCCUACUUUUGUACACCGACAAAGGAUAGUAGCAUUGCCCCUUCUCUCUUUUUCUCUCUUUUUUCUCUGUUUUUUGGGCUCUCUCUUUUUUUGGCCUAUUUUUUCUAUUUUUAUUUUUUAUUUUUGUAAGUCCGAAGUCUCAUCCCAACGUGAGGGAAUCAUAGCCUCCAUCAUCCUUUCCUCACUGGGGCAAUGCUCUAAUAAUGAUGAUCAUCACACUUUUAUUUACUUACAACUCGAUAAAACUGAUACAUGAUGACUAUAUGAAUGCCUCUAGCAGUGUACCAGGAUGUGCAAUGAUCUAGCGUAACAAAGAUAUCAAAAGACGGACAAGCCAUAAAAUAUCAUGCUAGCUAUCUUACGAUCAUGCAAAGAAAUAUGACAAUGAACGCUCAAGUCAUGUAUAUGAUGAUGAUGGAAGUUGCAUGACAAUAUAUCUCAGAAUGGCUAUGGAAAUGCCAUAUUAGGUAGGUAUGGUGGCUGGUUUGAGGCACCGGCGAAAGUUGCGCGGCACGAGAAAGGCUAGCAAUGGUGGAAGGGUGAGGGUGCGUAUAAUCCAUGGACUCAACAUUAGUCAUAAAAAACUCACAUACUUAUCGCAAAAAUUUAUUAGCCAUCGAAGUAAAAUACUAAUACGCAUGCCCCUACGGGGAUAGAUUCGUAGGAAAAGACCAUCGCUCGUCCUCGACCGCCACUCAUAAGGAAGACAAUCAAAAAAUAAAUCAUGUUCCGACGUCAUCACACGACGGUUCACCAUACGUGCAUGCUUCGGGAAUCACAAACCUUAACACAAGUAUUUCUACCAGUCCACAAUUACUCACUAGCAUGACUCUAAUAUCACCAUCUUUAUAUCACAAAACUAUUGCAAGGAAUCAAACAUAUCAUAUUCAGUGAUCUACAAGUUUUUAUGUAGGAUUUUAUGACUAACCAUGUGAAUGACCGAUUCCCGUUAACUCUCUAAAUAGAUAUAAGUGAAGCAAGAGAGUUCAAUUCUUUCUACAAAAGAUAUGCCAACGCUCUAACAAAUAUAAGUGAAGCAAAAGAGCAUUCUACAAAUGGUGGUUUUCUAUGUGUAGAGAAACAUGCAAUCCAAACUUCAGAUGAUAUAAGUGAAGCACACGAAGCAUUCUAUAAAUCCAUACUCAAAAGAUAUAAGUGAAGUGCUAUGAGCAUUCAAUAAAUCAACAAAGGACUAUCUCAUACCAGCAUGGUGCAUUAUUAAAAGAAAAAUAAAAAAACACGACGCUCCAAGAUUUACGCAUAUCAUGUGACGAAUAAAAAUAUAGCUCCAAGUAAAAUUACCGAUGAACGUUAGAAGAAAGAGGGGAUGCCUUCCCCAAGCUUAGUGCCUGGGAGUCCUUGAAUAUUACCUUGGGGUGCCUCGGGCAUCCCCAAGCUUAGGCUCUUGCCACUCCUUAUUCCUUCAUCCAUCGUGAUCUCACCCAAAACUUGAAAACUUCAAUCACACAAAACUUAAACAAACCCUCGUGAAAUCUGUUAGUAUAAUAAAGCAAAUCACCACUUGAAGUAAUGUUGCAAACCCAUUCAUAUUUUGUUUUUGCAUUGUAUCUACUGUAUUAUAACUUCUCCAUGGCUUAUACCACCGAUAAAAUCGAUAGUUUCAUCAAAACUAGCAAAGCAAUGCAUCGAAAACGGAAUAUGUCUUCAACAAGACAGUCUGUAGCAAUCUGAACAUCUACCAUACUUAUGUAACUCCAAAAAUUCUGAAACAGUAGGACAAAAUAAACAAUUUGCAUACCAGUACUGUGGAGAAAUUUUAGAAACUUUUGACUUUCCAGUAAAAAAAUGUAAAUUCACGCACUACAACCAAAGUUUCUGUUUUUGCACUGCGCAAACCAAACAAGCAAUCUAGUCAUCCUAAAGGAAAAUCUUGGCACAUUAUUUUUAUAACACAAUGGAUUUGUACAAGGGGAUAAUUAUUUUUGUUGAAAACUUUAUGUAAUAAAGGUUCACAAAGUUUCCAUGGGCAUGAACAAAGUUCAAGGCUAGCUCCCACUUCAACGGUGCUCGUCUUUCUUACUUUCACUUUUCUUUUUGAAAAAGUUUUAGGUUCCCCACUUUAUUUUUUUUGUUUUUAAAAUUUAUAAAAGCACACAACAGAAAUACAUGACUCUUUAAAACUUCUAGGUUGUCUCCCUGGCGAUGCUUUCUUUAAAGUCAUUAAGCUAGGCAUAUAGUGCUCAAGUAAUGGAUCCACCCGGAUCCGAAGGUAUAUCAAAGCCAAUUUUAGUUAACAAUGAUUUGUAAUUUAGUAGUGAGCACAAAGUAAUAUAUAUCAUGUAAUGACGAAGUCUAACUCUCUUCAUAUGCAUCGGCAUGUCAUAAAACAACAAUUCAUGCACACAACGUAAAGGCCGAUACAUAGCAUAAACAGUUUCUUGCAAUUUUAUCAGAUUGAAAACAUAGAGAGGCGGCGAUGUAGUUCCUCUCUCAUAAUAAUUGCAAGUAGGAGCAGCAAGCACAUGCAUAUUAUAUUUAUCAAAAUCAUCUUGUGCAAUAGUAGAACACAACUCAUCAAUAUAAUCCUUAAUAAGCACAAACUUCUCUGAUAUAGUGUAGUUGGGAGAAUUCAAAAAGAUAAUAAGACUAUCAUGCGUGGGUGCAAUAGCAACAAUUUCAUUCUUGACAUAAGGAACUAUAACAAGUUCAUCUCCAUAAGCAUAAUUCAUAUUGGCAUCAUGGCCACAAGCAUAGCAAGCAUCAAGUAAUCAAAAAGGGAUAUUUCAAACUAAUCCAAGGGAUCAUAGCAAUCAUCAUAGCAUUCAUCCUUUGGUAAGCACAAAGGGAAAUUAAAAAUGUAUGGUAUAAAGAGUUAACUCUCAUUAGAAGGUGGGAAUGGGUGAUCAAUUAAAAAUGUAUGGGAUAAAGAGUUAACUCUCAUUAUUUGCUCUUCCUCCUUUUUUUCUUCACUCUCCUCCUCAUCUUUUUCAUCUAAUGAGCUCACAGUAUCAUCAAUUUCUUCUUCCAUAGAUUCCUGCAAAAUAUUAGUAUCUUCUUGGACAGCGGAGACUUUCUCAAUAAACUCAUCAAUAUCAGUAUUAUAUUCAUAAUUCUCAUAGCAAUAUUUAAGUAUAGCAUUAUUUUCAGGUCUGUAAACAACAUCAUCAAGAUUCUCACACUUUACAAAGAUUCAAUUUCAUAAGCACCCUUAAAAGCAACAAAUUCUUCUAUUCAUUCGACAUCAUAGUAAUCAUAUAUACCAUUAGCAUAAGAAGCCAAGGUUUCAUUAUCAUUAAAUUUACAUGAAAAGGGAAGGUGUGGAGCCUUCAUCCUAGAGCAACAAGUAUAAUCAUAUCUCAAGCAUAAAUUCCAAGCAUACCAAUGUAACAUAUGAAUUUGAUCCCAUAAGAGUUUCCCUUUUUUAGACAAGCGAUAAUCCCUAAAGUAUUCAUGUUGAUCCAACGUGUCUCCCAUUAUAAAGUUGAAUGGGGUUCUCUCAAGAUUAUCAAAGUAGUGUUUAAUAUUUUCCACAUAGCGAGCAUCGAGGGUUUCAGGAGGUUUCCCAUCUCCAUGGGUAGCAAGUGCACGUAAUUUUUUUGGUAUUUCGUGUUCCAUAUCCAUAACUAAAGAUAGAGAACAACUUAGAAAAGCAAAUAAAAUCUACUUAGUGAUAUAGAAUACAAGCACACACGAGAAUAUUCACCCCACGCUAUUGCUCCCCUGCAACGGCGCCAGAAAAAGGUCUUGAUAACCCACAAGUAUAGGGUGUCAGUUGUAGCCUCUUUCGAUAAGUAAGAGUGUUGAAACCAACGAGUAGCUAAAGGUAGAACGAGUAUUCCCUCGAGUUCUAUCGACCACCGAUACAACUCUACGCACGCUUAACGUUCGCUUUACCUAGAACAAGUAUGAAACUAUAAGUACUUUGUAGGUGUGAUAGGAUAGGUUUGCAAGAUAAUAAAGAACACGUAAAUAAAAGCUAGGGGCUGUUUAGAUAAAGAAACAACUAAGUUGGUUUUACUAGAGAGCUUUUUGUCACAGGCAAGUUAUUUGUCCCUAGGCAAUCGAUAACUAGAUCGGUACUCAUUAUUGCAAUUUUAUAUGAGGGAGAGGCGUAAGCUAACAUACUUUCUCUACUUGGAUCAUAUGCACUUAUGAUUGGAACUCUAGCAAGCAUCCGCAACUACUAAAGAUCAUUAAGGUAAAACCGAACCAUAGCAUUAUAAGGUAUCAAGUCCUCUUUAUUCCCAUAUGCAAACAACCUACUUACUCGGGUUUGUGCUUCUGUCACUCACGCCACCCACCACAAGCGAAUCAUGAACAUAUUGCAAACCCUAUAAUGGGGAUCCCUCACGCUUGCGCAACACGGAGAGCACCAUAGGACAACACCAAUAAUGAAACAUGCAACUCAAACCAAUCACGAUCAUCAAUCAACCCAUAGGACAAAAUGGAUCUACUCAAACAUCAUAGGAUAGCCAUACAUCAUUGGGAAAUAAUAUAUAGCGCUGAGCACCAUGUUUAAGUAGAUAUUAUAGCGGGGACAAGGGGUUUUACACAGUUGCAUAGAGGAGGAGAGAGUUGGUGAUGACGGUGACAAAGUUGUUGGUGUAGAUCGUCGUCACGAUGAUGGCUUCGGCGGUGUUCCGGCACCACCGGGAGAGAGGGCGAGAGAUCCCCCGCCCCUUCUUCUUCUUCCUUGACCUUCCCCAAGAUGGGAGAAGGGUUUCCCCUCUAAUCCAGGCCUCCAUGGCGGCGGAGGGGUGGGAGCCCUCUGAGAUUGGAUCUCUCUCUUUUCCUUCUGUUUCUGCACUCCCAAAUUCUGGCCUUUCACCGUUUCUUAAAUUCCCGGAGAUCCAUAACUCCAAUUGGGCUGAAGUUUUAACACGAUUUUUAUCCGAAUAUUAUCUUUCUUGGGGCAAAAGAAGGGCACUAACCGCCUUACAGGGUGGCCACAAGCCCCCUGGCCACGCCCAGGGUAGGGGUGCGCCUCCAAGUCUUGUGGCCCCUCAGGCAUCGUCUCGUGUUGAUUCCAAUUCCCAAAAAUCACAUAUAUUCGGAAAAAAAUCUUCGUAAGUUUUUGUUGCGUUUGGACUUUGUUUGUUAUGGAUAUUCCGCGAAACAAAAAACAUGCAACCAACAGGAACUGACACUGGGAACUAGAUCAAUAUGCUAGUCCCAAAAAUAGUAUAAAAAGUUGCCAAAAGUAUAUGAAAGUUGUAGAAUAUUGGCAUGAAACAAUCAAAAAAUUAUAGAUACGACGAAGACGUAUCACCCCGCUCCCCAUGUCUUUCUUCUCAGGCGUGGUUAGAAGACCUUCGCACAUGCCCACAGCUUGGCGACGGGGCAUGUUCUCCAUUUCAAGUUAAUGGACGCCACCUUACUCUCCGUCAAGAUCUUUGGGCGUUCGGGUGCUCGUUUAGGGUGUUGCGUGGAGAGCUCGACUGACGACGAAAGCUCCUCCUCGAGCGAUAGCGAUGAGGAGGACAGUGACAGUGAUGAGGGCGGAGCUGAUGGGGAGGACGACGGCUCCGACUCCGGCUGAACGCCAGCCACACCGUCAUCGUCAGUCGGUGGAACCACCAUCUGCACCUGCAUCUCCUCCCGGGCAAGGCGAUUUGUCGGAGAGUUGGAUGUGGAGGUGUGGAUGGUGUCUCCAGAUCCUCCAGCAGCCUUCCGGCUAGACCCCGGCAGGCUUCCUCGUGGGCUCUGGCUUUGUUCGCCCAGUCGCGUCCUGCUGGCCCAGGUGGCGGUGACCAGGGGGAUCCCUCCGCCGCUCCCUUCACCAUCACCUUCGUCCGCGCCCUCCUGAUCUUGUCAGGCUCCUUGUCACGGGGCCUGGCGGGGUCAGGCUAGGCUUCUGCCCAGACGCUCCUUUUGCCCUCUUCACCCCCCAUCGUAGUUCCUAGGAGGAGAGGUACAAGAAAGGGAUCAUGGGGCACUUAUCUUUUUUCAGUCUAAAACAUGUAGGCACUUGCCAAACUUUUAGUCUAAAUAUGUAAUCUACUUUAUCCAUGUUUGUGCUCUGUAAGAUUUGAACUUGCUUAUCAGUAUAUUAAUGAAAAAGACAAGUCUUGUCAGGUACUUGUGCAUGUCUCCUGUCCAUGCAAAGGAUGAACACCUUUAUACCUUUAAGUAAACAAGAUUCCUCGGCAAGCUAUCUUGCCGGUGCCUUCUAUUGUUGUUGCGGAGGCCAGGCCUGCCGGGCUUCAGAAACAUGGAGAGGGACUGGCCCCUUGUCAACCUUUUUCUUGUCAAAUGCCACUACAACCUUCCUGACCGAAGCAACGUUUGGGUGAAAGGAUGGGAGCACAAAUGCUUCGAAGGUGACAAGGUUUUCCUAUGCACAAGUUCCCUUCUUACAAAGACAUGUAUGGAUAAAAAAGAGAACUUAUCUGUUUCGCUUGCUGGAGAUUAAUAUGUAGCUUGUUCCCUCUUCUUCCCUUCGGGGUCGAGUCCGCGACAAGAAUCCUGUAGGUAGUGCAGAGGGAAGCAGUAGCAACAUAUGAUCUCUUCUACAUGCUCAUGGCAAGUUCAUGUUUAUGCCAUGCAUGCAUGCAGGUUUUAGGGGGGCCCCGACGCUUCAUUUGUAUAUUUGCUGCUCAGGGUCUGCGCCUGGCUUUGUACAAAGGGUUACAUGCAGCAUCGGCAAGGCUUGUACAAAAGGGUGGCUGCCGGGGCAGGGCCCAGCCACGCCUUACGGGUAGAACUUACGAAGAUGAUCAAUGUUCCAUGAGUUUUGCACCUUGAUGCCAUCUUCGAUCUCCAGACGGACUGCGCCAGGUCUGGUGACUCGUACCACCCGGUAAAGGCCUUCCCACUUUGGCGUCAACUUGUUGGAACCCUUGGCGGACUGAACACGCCUAAGGACAAGGUCGCCUUCCUCAAGACUCCGGGCAUGGACCUUGCAGCUAUGAUAGCGACGCAGGGCCUGCUGGUAUCGUGCAGCACGUACAGCAGCCCGGACACGGUUCUCCUCAAGUAGCAUAGCGUCGUGACGCCAGUGCUGUUCUUGCACUACUUCAUCGUAGGCAAGUACUCCAGGUGACCCGUAUAUGAGUUCUGUGGGGAGCACUACUUCUGGCCCAUAGACUAGGGAGAAGGGAGUCUGGCCGGUAGCUCGAUUUGGUGUCGUACGGAGGCACCAAAGAACUACUGGCAGCUCGUCGAUCCAUCGCGUGCCACACUUCUGUAGCCUAUCAAAUGUUCUUGUCUUGAGUCCUCGCAUCACUUCAGCAUUCGCCCUCUCAGCUUGUCCAUUGCUUCUGGGAUGGGCAACAGAGGCGAAUGAGACCUUGCUUCCAAGGGCAUGAACGUAUUGCAUGAAGGGGCAGCUUGUGAAUUGGGUUGCCAUUGUCAAUGAUGACUCUGGCGGAUACUGCAAAACGGCAUAGCAGUCCCUUCAAGAACUUGAUAGCUGACUGUGUGGUCACCUUCCUCACGAGCUCCACCUCCGGCCACUUUGUAAACUUGUCGAUAGCAACGUACAAGAAUUCAAAUCCCCCGGUAGCACGGGGGAAGGGGCCCAAGUGUCGAGCCCCCAGACCGAAAAUGGCCAUGACAAAGGGAUCGUUUGGAGAGUUUGAGCAGGCUGAUGGAUAUUCUUGGAGUGGAACUGGCAGGCUUCACAUCUGGUGACUAGCUCAGUUGCAUCUUGGAGGGCCAAGGGCCAAUAGAAACCUUGCCGGAAAGCUUUUCCAACCAAAGCUCUUGAUCCAAUAUGAGAGCCGCACAUGCCUUUGUGUAUCUCUGCUAAUAGUUCCUUCCCUUCUUCCCGGCAAAUGCACUUCAGUUUCACACAGUUGGGCCUCCUUCUAUAUAGUGUGUUGUCGACAAACUGAUACAUACUGGCCCUCCGAGCUACUCUUUUGGCUUCUUCUUGCUCUUCCUGAAGUUCUCUAGUUUGGAGGUAGCGGACAAUGUGUUGUGCCCAAGUUGGAGCCUGUGGCUCGACAACUAGGGCCAAUGGCACCUCCUCACUCGUGGGAGAGCUUGCCUCAACCAUAAAGACCUGAGGUCCCGUGGAAGAGUGUGGCUCGCCAGGCGAGGUGGAGUCGUUCCCGGAAGCCCCUUACUGGGGACCUCUAAAGGUACUGCCAGUGAAGGCUUGCCGGAGUCCAGCUUCCUCCACUUCCUAGCCAUUUUCAAUGGGGAUACAGAUGGCUGAGUCAAAUGGAGGACAAAGGUUCCUGGUUCCACAGGGAGCGUUUGUGCAGCACACUUUGACAGAUAAUCACCAGUGCUGUUUUCUGCACAUGGUACGUGCUCUGUUUGUAAUCUGUCAAAGUGUUCCUCCAAUUUCAUCACUUCUUCAAUGUAUGCUUCCAUUAACGGGCUCUGGUGAUCCUUGUUGACUUGUCUCACUACAAGUUGCGAAUCUCCUCGGAUGACCAGCUUCUUGAUCCCCAACUCUAUCGCAAUUCUGAGCCUGGCAAGGAGCCCUUCAUACUCCACAAUGUUGUUGGUAUCCCUUUCUCAAGGAAAGUGCAUUUGGACCACAUACUUCAGGUGUUCUCCGGUGGGUGCGACGAAGAGCACACCAGCCAAUGCACCUUGUAGUGAGAAAGCACCAUCAAAGUACAUGAUCCAUUCCUGGGGCGCUUCCUUGCCGGGGAUGACUGUUUCCGGCGUCUCUUCAUCUGGAGUUGGUGUCCAUUCUACAAUAAACUCUACCAGUGCUCUGCUUUGAAUGGUUGAGGUGCUUUCAUACUUUACUCUAAAGCUUGACAAUUCCAGUGCCCAUUCAACUAUCCUGCCAGUGGCUUCAGGGUUCCUCAAUAUGUGUUGCAGAGGAAAUUGGGUGAAAACCAUAAUCUCGCGGGCUUGGAAGUAGUGGCGCGGCUUCCUCGAGGCCAUGAUGAGGACAAAGAUUAAUUUCUGUACCCCAGAAUACCUUGAUCUAGCCCCCUGUAACAGGGAGCUGACAAAGUAAACUGGUCACUGCACUACCUUCUUCCUUGCCACGGUCUUGGAGUUGCCUUCACCAUCCUACUCUUCUUUCUCUUGAUCCGCUCUCAAUCCUGCAGCGACUAGUUCACUUCCUUCUCCGGGAAGGGCAGAAGCUACCGCUGCUCCUUCCAUUUCCCAAUGCGCCACCAGGGCUGCACUAACCACUUGAUUGGUCGCUGCUAGAUAUAGCAGCAACGGCUCUUGUGGUUUAGGAGCAACCAAGGUGGGAACAGAGGAAAUGUAGGUUUUUAAGUCUUGCAGUGCUGCUUCUACCUCCGGGGUCCAUUUCAUAGGCCCUGCCUUCUUCAAAAUUUUGAAGAACGGUAGGGCGCGCUCGGCGGACUUGGAGAUGAACCUGCUCAGCGCGGCAACACAUCCAGUUAAACGCCUCACAUCUAUGACUGUCCUGGGUGCUUGAAUAUGUUCAAUUGCUCUGAUCUUGUCGGGAUUGGCCUCUAUCCCCCAGUGAGACACAAAGAAGCCAAGUAGCUUGCCGGAGGGAACGCCAAACACACAUUUCUCCGGAUUAAGCUUCAGGUUGAUCUUGCGCAGAUUUGCAAAGGUCUCUUCCAAAUCUUGAAUGAGAGUUGAUCUGUCCUUGGUCUUGACCAUGAUGUCAUCCAUGUAAGCUUCAGUAUUCCUGUGCAAUUGAGGCUCAAAACCAAUCUGCACGGCUCUUGCCAAGGUGGACCCGACGCUCUUUAACUCGAAGGGCAUUUCUACAAAGCAGUACGUGCCACAUGGGGUUAUGAACGCGGUCUUAUCGUCGUCUUCCUUGGACAUGAAUAUCUGGUGGUGCCCGGAGUAGGCAUCCAAGAAGGAAAGCAUGUCACAUCCGGAGGUGGAAUCCACAAUCUGAUCGAUGCGCGGCAAGGGGAACGGGUCCUUCGGGCAUGCUUUAUUUAGAUAUGUGAAAUCUAUGCAAAGCCUCCAUUUCCCAUUCACCUUGCGCACCACCACUGGAUUUGCCAACCAUGUCGGAUGCAACACUCCUCUGACCAAACCAGCAGCCUCAAGUUUCUUGAUCUCUUCGGCAAUGAACUGAUGCUGCUCCAAAGCUUGCUUUCGGACCUUCUGCUUGACGGGCCAGGCAUAAGGGCAGACAACAAGGUGGUGCUCGAUUACCUCCCUGGGAACACCGGGGAUGUCAGAUGCUUGCCAAGCAAACACAUCGACAUUCGCCCACAGGAAGGCAAUGAGCAUGCUUUCCUAUUUGUCGUCAAGGGUGGAGCUGAUAGUGAACGUACCAUCAGCGUCAACCAGCCCUGCUAGGGCCUUCUUCACACCAUGCGCAGCAACCUUUGAUCUAUUGCUAUUAGAACUUUCCGGCAACUCAUCGACCGGCGCAGCGCACUCCGGAGAGGCGCGCUUCCUGGAUUCCUUGCUAGUAUCUUUGGUAGCUUUUAUCCUUUGCUUGUUUUGGCGGGGACUGCGGCUUCCGCGGCCUCGGUAGCGAUCGCCUUCUGGUGGAUCUUAUCCACGCAUAUAAGUGUGUCCUUGUCUGACGGGAUGGAAAUGACGGCCAUCGGUCCUAGCAUCUUCAAAGUGUUGUAGGCAUAGUGGGAUGCCGCCAAGAAUUUCGCCAAGGCAGGUCUUCCAAGUAUCCCAUUCUACUGCAAUGGAAGCUCGACCAAGCCAAACACAAUUUUCUCAGUCUGGAAGUUCAAUCCCCCCCCNNNNNNNNNNNNNNNNNNNNNNNNNNNNNNNNNNNNNNNNNNNNNNNNNNNNNNNNNNNNNNNNNNNNNNNNNNNNNNNNNNNNNNNNNNNNNNNNNNNNNNNNNNNNNNNNNNNNNNNNNNNNNNNNNNNNNNNNNNNNNNNNNNNNNNNNNNNNNNNNNNNNNNNNNNNNNNNNNNNNNNNNNNNNNNNNNNNNNNNNNNNNNNNNNNNNNNNNNNNNNNNNNNNNNNNNNNNNNNNNNNNNNNNNNNNNNNNNNNNNNNNNNNNNNNNNNNNNNNNNNNNNNNNNNNNNNNNNNNNNNNNNNNNNNNNNNNNNNNNNNNNNNNNNNNNNNNNNNNNNNNNNNNNNNNNNNNNNNNNNNNCACUGGCAGCGUGAUCUUCCCCUUUGGAUGAAUCCUGCCGGGGUUGAUCCCUUGAAAGGUUCCAGUAACCUUGAGCUCUUCUUAUGUUAUCUACAGCUUGCUGAUGACCUUGGAGAAAUCAUAUUCAACCCGGCCCCGCCGUGAACCAACAUCUUUGUGACCUUGAGGUUGCGAAUCAUUGGUGAAACCAACAAUGGCAAGCACCCUACCGCGAUGGUGCGGUCUGGGUUAUUGUAGCGCCCAAGAUGCGAUUCUAUCCCAAUCACGUGAUAAACUCGUGAUUGGGGCACAACCGCAUUUCGAGCGCAUAUCAAGGUGGAUAUCAUUACACCAUGUACUGAAUAGAUGAGAAUACAAGAUAAAGGCUUACACUCGCCACAAGCUACAACAUGAAUACAACAGUUCAUCAAUACAUAGCAAUCAUCAUACAGAAGAGCAAGAUCCGACUACGGAUGAAACCAAAUGAAAAAGAAGAACGACAUCCACCUUGCUAAUCCUAGGCUCCCGACCCAGAACCUAUCCCUUGAUCGAAGAAGAAGAAGUAGAAGAACUCCAAAACAAUCAAGCAUCGCUCUCGCGUCAGAUCAUCGCAUUACCUGUACCUGCACCUGUUGUAGUAGUAAUCUGUGAGCCACAAGGACUCGGCAAUCCCAUUACCAUGGGUAUCAAGACUAGCAAAACUUAAUGGGUAUGGAAUGGAUAAGUGGUGAGAUUGCAGCAACACUAAGCAUUGUAUGGUGGCUAACUUACGAGUACAAGACUAAGAAGAGAAACUACGCAUAACGGUCGCAAACUAGUAAUGAUCAAGAAGAGAUCCUGAACUACUUAUGAGUCAAACAUAACCCCAUCGUGUACUCUUCUCGAACUCACUCGAAAAGAGACAGUCACGAUUACACACGCGGUUGGUGUAUUUUAAUUCGGAUCUAGUGUCAAGUUCUCUACAACCAAAUAUCAAAAAUUCCCAUCUGCCACAUAACCGCGGGCAUGGCUUUCAAAAGAUCAAACCCUGCACGGGUGUCCCAACUUAGUCCAUCAUAAACUCUCAUGGUCAAUGGAGGAAAAUCCUCCUCUCAGAACAACCCGAUCAAGCUCGGAAUCCCAGUUCACAAGACAUUUCGACAAUGGUAAAAUAAGUCCAGCAAGACCGCCUGAUGUACCGACAAUCCUGAUAGGAGUCGCACCUAUCUCUUUCUCAGGGCACAUCGGAUGGGCAAGACAUCGGGUUGGCUGAGACCCUAGUUGCCCAGGGGGCGCCGGACAUCACCCGGUUUGGACCAACACUCAUGAGGAGCACUGGCCCGAGGUUGUUGAUUAAUUAUCCUCGGGGGCCAGGAAGUCCCUAUGCAAGUUUUAGUUGUUAUUAGGCAAAUGGUAAAACCAAUGUUGGGCCUUGCUGGAAGAGUUUUAUUCAAAGCGAACUGUCAAGGGGGGGCCAUAAACCCCGACCGUGUUAGGAACGCAAACUCAAGGAACAUAACACCGGUAUGACGGAAACUAGGGCGGCAAGAGUGGAACAAAACAUCAGGCAAAAGGCCGAGCCUUCCACCCUUUACCAAGUAUAUAGAUGCAUUAAUUAAAUAAGAGAUAUUGUGAUAUCCCAUGAUAUCCAUGUCCCAACAUGGAACAACCUGCAACUAGCAACGCUAUAAGAGGAGCUGAGCAAAGCGGUAACCUAGCCAAACAACGGUUUGCUAGGAUGGUGGAAAAGGUUAGAGGCCAUCAUGGAAAUUUGGGAGGCUUGAUAAACAAGUGGUAGGUAGCGCAACAUAGCGAUAGCAUCGAGACAACUAGCAAAUCAAAGAUAGUAGUGGUAUCCAGGGUAACGGUCAUCUUGCCUGAAAUCCCGCUAGGAAGAAGGUGGAAUCCAUGAAGUAGACGAACCAAUGUAGUCGAGUGAAUCCUCACAAUCGCAACGUAACCGGAACUAUCAAGAAGAAGCAGAACCGGAAAGAAGCAAACAACAAGGUAAACAACCAUCACAUAAACAUGGCAUGAUGCACAACCAAGUAUGAUGCAUGUCUGAUUUAAUGAGGCAUGGCAUGGAAAAGUGCAACAAACGAUACUACAAAUUAACUGGAGCUCAAUAUGCAACGAGUUGCAUAUUGACGGAACUUCACAACAAUUAUUUAGUUCUCUCUCGUUUAAGAACAAGACAACAUUAAAUGUUGGUUAAUAUGGCAAGAGGUGAUGCAUAAUAAAACUACCUAUCUAGGCAAGUUUAAAUGAGGCUGGAACAACAAACAACAAUUCCGGAAAAUCCUCGUAUGCAUAUUUUGAAUUUGGUACUGUUCUGCCCUAAACCAUAUUUUAUUUUUGUUAAAUAGUAAAAUAAAGUGCAUCAAGUUAAUCUAUACAUUUUCUACCCCAUUUACAUAUAAAGUUUAUUUAAUUCGGAGUACGGUUAUUUAGUUAAGAAAUAAGUCAUUUAGCAUGUCAUUUAUGCAAAUUAAAUGCAAACAGCAAUUUAAACAUUUUUAGCAUGGAUGAAUGUGGCAUAUUAUAAAACUAGAUGAAAUCCUAAGCAUGUUUCAUAUAUAACUUAUUUUAAUCCGAUGCACAAAUCAUGAGUUAUUAUAUGCAUGAAAUGCAAGGGUUUUUCUGCAAUUAUGAAAUUCUCUGGUUAAUAGGAAAUUGCAUAACAGGAAAAAACGCAUGCGGGUUGAAUCUGCUGGAAUAGAGUGAGCGCUGGAGCUCUCACCAUGGGCCAACGCCCAGUCAGUGCAGCAGGCCGGCUUGGGCUCGGUGGUGCUGGACUGACGGGGGAAGCAGCGCGGUUCCCCCGCAUCUGGCUGAUGCGGUCAACGCGGAGACUGGGCGCGCCCAUAAAGCAAAGGCAUCUCCUCGAUGCAGAGCAAGCGGGCGCAUGAAUAGGCAAAGCAGGGGGGUCGCGGGCACGGCGGCGGCUACCAGUGAGCAGGCAAUGGGCGAAGCCGGCCAUGGGGCACUAGACCUGGCCGAAGAAGGGGCGAAGGCACCUUGGGUCGGGGCGGCAGCGGCUCGGAGAUCCUGGCGGGGCUCCUUUGCUAGGAAACAGAGAGAGAGCUUGAGACGUGAGAAGGAAGGAGAUUGAAGAAGCAGGGGAAGGGAAGGCGUGGGAGGAAGGGGACCUAGACGGCGCGCUCGCCGGCGGUCACUGGUUGCCGGAGGCGCGGGAUCCAGGAGGAGCUCGAGGACGCGGCCUCCUCUGCUCGGGUGCGGGGGAAGGCGACGGCUUGGCGACCAACGGGGUGCUCGAGCGGGACGAGCAGGCAAGCUCCUGCUUGUUGCAGAGGAAGUAGAGACCGGCGGGAGCGGACUUGGCAACGGCAGCGACGCCAGGAGUUGCUGUGGCACGGGGCUCCGGCGGUGGCGCUCGAACGAGGAGGCAGAAGCGGGGCGGAGCUCCAGUGGCUCGGGGACAGGAGCAGCGGCGGUAUCCAGAUGGGCUCAGUGGCUGGACGUGGGGGAGGAGGCGAUGGAGAGGACAGGGAGGCCCUGGUCGCCGAAGGGCGCGGUCGGCGGCACGAGGUUGACAGGGUCGGGCGCGGAGGCGGCUCGGCAGGGGAGUUCGGCUCCAUGGGAGGAGCUCCUCUCAUUGGUCGGCCUCCUGUGGUUGAGGGAAUGGAUGGAUUGGGUGCGUGGUGGAGGCUGCGGCGGUGAUGGGCAGUUGGCUCGGGCACUGGUUGGAGGGAGGUGGAUCUGGCAGGAUCCCGAUGGAGAUGCAAGAGAGUGGCAUCGGCGGCUGUGGGAAUGGAAUGGAAUGGAUGGAUGGGACGGCUAGGGUCUAGGGUUGCCCGGAUAUUUAUAUAGCAGGUGGAUUAGCUUAGGGUUAUUCCGUCCCUUCGAUCGUAAUCGGACGACCCAGAAUCAAUAGGUUGGGAAAUCCAACCAUUGAACCGAAGAUGUUUUAAGGAUGUUUGGGGAUGAUCCGGACCCAUCGGCCACGACUGCCCGGGUCGGGUUCGGGAUAGUUUCGGACGCGCACGAGGGGGUCUGCAAAAGGGCAAGGGGAACCAAAAACCCGGUUGGUCUCGGAACAGUCAACGAUGAGAACAAAGAGGACCGGCAACUAUGAACGGAUGCAACUUUUGAAAACAUGACGGAAAUGGAGUGCCGAUGCAAUGUGAAUGAUGCGAUGAUGAAGGCAAACGAACAAAUAAAACACAAGGCGACAACGAAAAUAACUGGAAGGCAUCUGGGGUGUCCGUAUCGGGUUGUCAGAACACUCCCCCACUUACAAGAGAUCUCGUCCCGAGAUCUAAGGAUGGCAUCAGAGAGAAGCAGAAGAGGAAGAGGCAAAACAAAGUUGCUUCUUUGACAAACGAGUGAAACCACGAACCUUGAGAGGCUGAACAAAUUGAAAGAAAGAAUAGAAUGGAGAUGAACGAGAUUGCAAACAAUCUGUUAUCAAAGAGGAACAAGAAACAUUACAAGAACCUUGUAGGUUGAAACACAUAAGAAAAGGGUUACAAUGGACAAGAAGUACAUGCAAGCACUCCGGUUAAAAGGAGAUGUACAAGGAACGAUAAGAACAAUUACGACAACACUCCGGUUGGAAAUGGAAGGAACAGAAUAUGAACUUGGCAAAAUGAAAGCACUUGGAUGAGACUCCGGUUAAAAGAGGAAUGAUAGCCACAACACUCCAGUUAAAUGGAUAAGCAAUAAAAGAACAUGAUCUUGACAAAACAAGAUGAUGCACUGGUACGUGUCGGUCCUAAACAAAUGGUUUGUAACCCCUUUCCGUGACGGCAUUCGGAACCGUCGCCAAGUGAGUGUGGGCGAUAGGGGGUCCUUCCCACACGACCUAGAAACCGUUGGGGAUAUGCCCUCCUAGCACACAUGCUCAGCAAAAUGAGGCCGUGUGCGGCCUGCGAGCACUCAAAUACAGAAAUACGUACAGUAGUGCUCAAAAAAAUACAAUUAUACAGGCGAAAUCAUUUCCGAUCGUAAGUACAUCCCACACAGUCAGUCACCACUAAACGUUUCCAUUCGUAUAUACAUCCCACACAGUCACUCCAAGGAAAACGUUUGCGCAAGGUGGCGUAACGCAAACAGUUUUCAAGAGAAUGUCGUGUGAUUGUUCAUUGAUCCAACACAGUUUAUUCCUAGAAACUGUGUGCGUUUCCUGAGGUCAUCGCCCACGGUGUUUUCUCAUUAACCGUUUGCAAUAGGAAAACCCAAUUAGCAAGCUACUUGGCCAAUUAACGGGCUAAUUGCCCUAUUAUUAAUAAUCCAUUUACUAAUCUAAUUGACAUUCAUAUUAAGCACAUAAUAUAUUCCAUUUCCAUAUUAAGGAAGCAGGAUUUCAUAAUUGAAAUACAUCAUAGUACAACAUGAUAUAGCUUCAGCACUCAGCCACCCCAUUACACAACUGCACCAGCAGCAAGUUUCACAUGCAACAUCUAGAACCUUUUGAAAUUAGCAUCAUAGACGGUACAUAGAGAGAUGCAUCUCAUCUAGAAAACUGUUGAAGCGGAAGGCAAAUAUUGAGCCUUCAUUCAUGUUGAAGGUCUUUGCAACUUUAGGCCAGUGCCUGUGGAUGAUUGACCGUCCAUCCUUCGACCUCUUCAGGAACACUUCAAUAUUGAGCCGUGGGUGUUGUAUGAAAACUUUCCUCGCCUCCUGACCACAGAGGUGGUUUGAGAGGUAAUCAUCAGUGAACCCUGAAAACAAGGAUGUGCAUAAAUAUCUUCUCUAUAUUGGAAACGGGACAAAGGAAUAAAAAAGGCAAGGUAUAAUAGUUAGUACCAUCUUGUAAACCUUAGUGCUUACCAUUGUUUCCCUGCAACACAUAUAAGGUAGUUAGUCAUCAGGUUAAGUAAGGGUUCGCAUGCUAUCAAUAAAAUAUGUUGAUGAAAAAUAAGCACAUUGCAGAUUCAUCAGAUUAAUUCAAGCCACAUGGAAAACCCAUUUAUCCAAACCAAGCAUGAUUAAGAACUAGGAAAUGUAGCACUUGUAUAUGCUUCUCAUGUAUUAAGUGCAGCCAAAUUCAAUUUAUUCCUCACAUGGUAUACAAUAACAGAAUGCAACCACAGCAAUUGAACAUCGCAUUGCGGAAUUGAACCAAGCAGUUAACUAAACGCCACAGCAAAUGAACCAAACAUUAACUGAGCACCACAUUGCACAAUAUAACAUACUCCUAAUAGAAGACCAGACAGUUAACCAAACCAAGCAUGCUUAACAACUUGGAAAUAUAGCAAUUGUAUUUGUUUCUCAUAUAUUUAGUACAUCCAAAUUUGAUUUAUUCCUCACAUGGUAUACAAUAACAUAAUGCGGUCACAGCAAUUGAACAUCGCAUUGUAGAAUUGAACUAAGCAGGUAACUAAACACCACAACAAGUGAACCAAGCCACAACAAAUGAACCAAGCAGUUAACUAAACACCAAUUGAACAAUAUAACAUACUCCUAAUAGAAGAUCAGACAGUUAACCAAACCAAGCAUGCUUAAGAACUUGGAAAUAUUGCACCCUAGAGAAUUGAACAUCACAUUUGCAGAAUUGAACACCACAUUGCACGACAUACAGAACAUAUACACUAUAGCAGAAGGUUGCAUGGUAAAAGUAGAUAGCACAAUUCACUAGAAUUUGUUAAGGAAAGACAGUAGCUAGCAAACUGAACGUGGGUCCUUAUAAUGAGCUAAUAAGACAAGCUACUCCCCAUUGUCGGAGAUAUCGAUGACGAUUGGAUCCUUGGACAUGGAAGAGGGCGAGGCCUCCGCAUCGUGGGUGCCCUCGUUGUAGUGGUGAGUUGCCUGAGCCACUCCGGGCACCAACCUGCUGGCUCUCGAGAUGAGGUACAUAUGGAGAAGAACGCGUGGGGAAGAGACGAGGACGAGGGCGGCCGGCUGAGAAGAUAAGGUUGGAUGGAGGGACACACAACAGUGCGUCGAGCCAGAUGACACCCAUCGCCCGCGCGAGAGGCAUAGACGGGCUGGUGGAAAAAAUAGAAAAAGAGAAAGAUCUUUCGACAAGGGGAAUAUAUUAAUAUCGCGAUGAUAUUAGAUACACCCAGCCUCUGCACCAACAAGAUGUCUGAAGACAUCCAGGAUGCACACAGCCAAAAACAAAAUAAAAAGAGAGAAAAGAAAAAACAUCGCGUUGUACAACCACUCGCAAAAGAAGCACUCUAACCACCACCAAAUACAACACCUACUAGGCUCUCCAAAAGCAACGCCUCCAAGAAGGAAACAAUGCAUAAGCGUUGUCGUCGCCCGAUCGAAGAUCUUGGGUUUUCACCCUGGAAAAAGACCGAGUUUCCAAAACAAUGCCUUGAAAAAGGCCAUUGCCAGGUACAACCAAUGAAGGCCAGACCUUGGAUUUUCACCCCGGAAAUCAUGGCUCGAUACUCGAGGAGCACCACCAAAAAUGCAGUCCACCUGUGUUGCCACCCCCGCUUGCCAAGGCUGCUGCUGCAAGUAGUCGAACGCCCGACACAUAGAAAGAACCUGUGUCGCAUCGUCUUCAACACAACAAACACUCUCUCUACCAAAAACAAACCUUCGAUCGCAUCCGCCAAGUCUUUCUCCAUCUCUGUCAGUUCCAUGAAAAUCUAUACGAAGACAUGUCCCAUGGUGACGACUGGAAGAGGAAGCUUCGCGCCUCGCCCAAAAAGGGUGUGCACGACCGCAUCAAUUCCACUCUAGAUUUCCAAUAGCAUCUUGUGACAAACUGCGAAUAUCUCUGAGAGGAAGAACGGAACUCGACCGCAGUCCAAUCGAUGAGGCAGAUUUGGUCAAUGGGCAAGUUGCCGUUUGAAGAAUAGCAGGGCCAAAACCACCAUUACUUUGGUUGAUCCAACAGUCCCCACACCGCCGGCCAACUCCUGGCGAUCGGAUGUAGCGGGUCAACCUCUGGCCCAGACGACCCAAGGUUCAGGCACGAGCGCCACAGCCGGUUUCAGCGCCACCGCCGCAUGCCUUGGCCGCACCUCCGCCUCUGGCCUAUAGCACCAUGUCCGCCGCUUCAUCCACCUCGCCUCACAGCCGCGCGCUCGGCGAAUAGCCGAUCCCGCUCGACGAACUCCUCAAGGAGCCACCGUCGCCGCCGUCCCGACGAAAGGAUCUGGCGUCCAAGGCACAGCGGAGCCUCCCACCAACCGAGAAGGGCACAAGAGAAGGCCUCGCCGCUGCCUACCGCCGCACGGACUUUGCCCAUGCUGGCCACCGGCAGCGGCGAGGGAGAGAACGACGGAGAGAGCGCAUGCGUUGACUACGAUUCCGCCGCCCGUGUUGCCCGAGCGGACGACGCGGGGGCAGUUUCUGUUUCUCCCAAAAAAAAGAGAGAGAAAGAAAGAGGUAGAGAGAGGGGAUUAACAAAUGGGCUCACAUGGUCUUCUGCAAACGGUAAAUGAAUUGAUUAAUCCAUGGACAGGAAGUUGGGAUGAAGUGUUGAUUCGAGACAAUUUUAUCUCAGUGGAUGCUGAACGAAUCUUGAAGAUCCCGUUGAGCACACAUUUAACUGAGGACUUUAUUGCCUGGCACAAGACUCGGCCGUUCUCAUUUUCAGUCUGGUCUGCAUACUAUACGGAGUGGGAACACCAGUUUGGAGCGCGUAUAAGAAGAUGUGAUGAUGGACCAUCUACUUUAAACCCAGUUUGGGAGAUUCUUUGGAAGCUACAAGUGCCAAGCAAAAUUAAAAUCUUUGGCUCGAAGGCGUUGCAUGGAAUUAUUCCGGGUAUGUCAGUUCUGGCAAACCGGCACAUUCCAGUCUCUGGGCUCUGUCCGAUCUGUAAAGGGGGUGCAGAAGACCUGAAGCACCUCAUGUUUACUUGUGAUCGUGCAAAAGAAGUUUGGCUAUCCUUGGGCCUUCAGGAGACGAUUGCACAUGCUGAUGCAUUAGACCGGUUUGGAUGUGUCAUCAUUGAGAGUUUACUCCGAGAUAAAAGGCGAAAGUCUGCUAUAUUUGAACAUAUUGGCUUCCAAGAGAUCAUAUUGGUUGGUGCCUGGUACAUAUGGUGGCAACGAAGGGAAUCCGUGAAGGGGGAAGUGGUGGCGAGUCCUCCUAAAUCGGCACUGGCUAUACAUGCAAUAACAACGAAGUAUGCGUGGGCUUCGAGUGCUAGCCAAAUUACUGAAGGGAAGUGGUCUAAACCUUGUAACAACAUGUAUAAGAUGAACGUGGACGCAUGCUUUAUGGAGGAUGGAUGUGGGGCUACUGCGGCCGUUCUUUGAAACCACCAUGGACAGGCUUUGGCUGGUUCAUCGUCCCUGGUUAGUCACGUUCUCGAGGCCCCUUCCGCCGAGGCGAUGUCAUUGAAAAAUGGUAUGAUGCUUGCAGACCAACUUGGAUGUUUCAAUAUCACUUUUGAAUCAGACUGCGGAUGUUCCAACUUGGAUGUUCCCAUAUGGGACGUGGAGUUAUUGAGCGCGAGCUCAAAUGAGCUCGGAAUCCUAGACGUUGAGUGAUGCAUGCAGAUGUGGUCCAUAGGGCGCUGGUGGGCUGACAGAAAAUGGACACUGUUCAGAAAUACGUACCCGACCGUGGGUGGUUUGUGGGCCCUGUGUUAACGGCAGGGUAGCGUCCGUUCGACAUUGACGAGGUGGGCUGUGGGUCAGAAUCGACGUACCCAUCUGAUCCGUGGAACAGAUCCUGUCUAAAAAAAGAAAUUCACUUUCCGUUCGGUGGGUUCACACAGAAAAUUGGUUGCCAUUAGGGCGGAGCUCAUUUGGGAGUUGGGGACUGGGUCGUAGAGAGAAGGAGCGCCAGCGGCGAGGCACCAUGGAGUUCCUGCUGCAGCCGAUGCGCGGGUACGUACAUACUUGCUUGUCCAACGAUCUCGUAGAUAUUCUUAGUCCCCUGGAUUUAGUGAUUGACAGGAUUUGGUUUCGGCCUGAAUCAGAUCCACUUUCCCUGGAGGAGGUCGCAGAGAGCUUGGUGCCGCCCCCUCUGCCGGCAGCGGCGACGGGAGGCGAUAUGGUGGCGGAGCAGGAGGUGGUGGAGCAGGAACGGGCGGUGGACAGCGCUGAAGCUCAGAUCUUGGUGGCCAGGGUAGCGACGGCCGCGGACAGGAGAGAGCUCACCCCCAACGUCGAAGUUGUCAACUGGGAAGAUGAAUCCCCGGGCGCCUGGAUGGAAUAAGAGGUUUGUGGUGGAUUUGAGCUUGCAGUCAUUAAUUUAGGGCUGCAAAAGAAAGAACUUUUGAGGAGUGGAAAAUUCCCGCCAUUAGUAGGUGUUUGCAGUAACUUAGUGUUGGAUUUAUACUCGCAGUCAGUAAAACUAGGUAUGUAGAUGAAAGUUACGAUGAGUGGAGUAGAACAACUAGUGAGUUGGCUCCGCUUGCAGGCCGAGGAUAGUGCUGCUGCACCAAGCAGAACACCGUGCCCAAACCAUGGGCAAAGCCGCGUGCUGCGAAACAUGUGCAAAUGCGGUUACGAGCAUCAAAUAUCUUGUCAGCAAACUAAAACAUCUCAAGCUGGAUGUGCUCGCGUGCAGUUGCAAGGUGCGAGAAGCAACGAGCAUUUAUUUCCUUGAGUAGGACUAUCAUCUCAUCGCUCGACUGGAACAUGAAAUGGGAGUUUGCAGUGAUACAGAGCGUACGAGUGAGUCCACAACCAAAAUUAAUGCUUUAGAAAAUGUGUACAAAAAGUUGAGGCACAAGAUAAUUUGCCAGGUGGGGAUACUGCCUCCAUAAAUAAUUGGUGAAAUUCAUCGGCCCUAGAAGACUUAUGGUCAUCGGAAUCAGUUCAUCAAUCAAAUGGUGUGCAGAUGUAGGGCUGGGAACAUCCCUCUGAGAUGUCCUGGCUGUGCUACCACCACAUGACGAAGCUGGCUAGAACGGAGGUUUUGCCGUGUUCCUUGACGCUAACUGCUCCACUGCGGAGUGCUUGGAAUGGGCGUAACACAUGGUGGAGAUGUGGCGUAACUACACGAUGUGGGUAGUUCUAGGAGAAUCAGAAAUAACAUUUAAAAAGAAGCAGCACAUCCGUGAGGGAUGGCUAGCACUUACCGGUGCGCCGGCAUAAGAUGGGGUCGUCUUGCCAACAUCUGUAGCCAUGGUUAUCAUUCUCUGGAUUGAGUCUUGGUCAAACACAUUUACCCUCGGCAACACAGAAUAUUGCUUGUUGAACAUCCCAAGGUCGAGAUUGUCCAGCAGGAAUAUCCGUGAGUGCUAUAAAUCGUUAGCCACAAGAAAUAGCAGGUAACUAAUGUCAUGAAUUUGGGGAUUUGGUGUCUGAUUUUUGCUGCACAUUUUUUUUUGUUUUCCUGCUCUGCUAGUUCUUAGUUCAAUUCCAUAAACAUAAAGAGGAUGUCUCGUCAGUCAUCACAGUGUGGAUUCCUUUUGUACUUGUUGAUUGUAUUCUUUGGAGUCCAAAUCAGUUUCUGUGGUUGUUACUAGCGCUUGUUUGUUUGAUAUAAUAACAUAGGCCUUAUUUGUGCUAGAAAGUAUCCUUUGCAACAAUGGGUUUGAAAUUAUUUAGGAUGAAGUAUCAGAUAAUGAGAAAAAUCUAAGCUACAUUGUUCAUGAGCGGUCAAAUAAAAAAACACAUGGUAUUCUUUGGCAUGACUUAGUGCUGCUCAACAAAAAAAAAU
rnacentral:lncRNA from 1 species